UUUUUUUUGGGGUUUUUUGCUCUUCUAUAUCUUGCUUUUAAUUUUAAAAGAUAUAUAUUUAUAUCACAUACACAAAUCAAAAAAUAUAUAAAAUACAUAAACAUACAGAUCUGCAUAUGUAUUUAUAGUAUAAAACAUACAUAUAUAUCUGCAAAUAUAUUUACAAAAAUAUAUAUCUGACUCAUAUAUAUGUAUUAACAUAUAGGACACAAAAUCUCUAUAAUAAAAAAAGAGACAUAAUACAUUUGCCUUAUUUAUGCUUGAACUACACAUUUCUUGUUAUGAUGUAGACAUCAAAAAUAUUAUUAUGAUGAAAAAUAUGCAUCAUCCAUAAAUACAUAUAUGUUAUUAAUAAAUAGAUAUCCAUAACUGAAAAAUACAUAUGCAUUAGUCAUAAAUACAUAUGCACACUGAAAAAGUACAUAUGUAUUUAUGCAUCUAUAAAAACCUAAGCAAAACUAAAAAUAUAUUUCUAAAUCAAUAAAAUAUAGCAUGCAGCCCCAUAAAAAUGUAUGAAUAACUAGAAAAUACAUAUUUCUUAUACAAAAAUAUAUAUGCAUAGCUGGAAGAAAAAUAUAUGCACUAGUCAUAAAUACAUAUACAAUCUGGUAAAAUACAUAUGUAUUAUUCAUAAAUAUAUAUGCAUGACUAAAAAAAUACAUAUUCACUACUCAUAAAUACAUAUGCACAACUGAAAAAUGCAUAUUCUUUCUUUUCGUUUGACUUUCUUUUUUUCACAUAUUUUUGCACUUUUUGGGAUUUUGAAGAUGGAGAUUUUCUCAAUAUUUUUCGUUUCAUGAUUUCCUCAAUAUUUUCUGGCUCAUCACAAUACUUCAAUCUCAUCUCUUCUAUGUCAAGUCUUUGUUCAACUGAAUAGGAGUAGAAAUCAACUUAACACAAAAUCCAAAUUUCUUUCAUCAAAAAAAAUCACAAAAGCCUAUCAAAUAAUGUAGAAAAAGUUACAUUAGACCUCCAUCAAAUAACAUAUCCCUCCAUUAUAGCAGACCUCCACAAUCUUACAAAAAAAAAAAUCACACCCCUCCCAAAAAAAUAAAAAAUAAAGAAUACGGAUGAAGAAAAAAAUAUGAAAAAAUAAAAAAUAUAUAAAUUAUAUGAAAAGAUAACAACUGUCCUUAUUUGAUGGAUCUUAGUUUUGAGAAAAGGGAAAGGAAUUAAAAAAAAUGGAGUGAAAUAUGAGAGGGAAUUAAAAAAAAGUAGAGUAAAAUAUGGGAGGGAAUUGAAAAAAAUGGAGUGAAAUAUGGGAGGGAAUUGAAAAAAGUGAAGUAAAAAUAGGGAAAGGUAAAAAAAAAUGAGUGAAACCCACACACUUUUCAAUAUAAUAGUUAAAAUAGUGCUACUUUUGCUAUAACUUUUAAUUUUGAAAAAGUGUUGCUAUUUAUUGUAAUUAAGGUCUUAAGUAUGCUAGUUUCUGUAAUUUUUUCAAAAAUAAAUGGAAAAUAAAUUAAGUGGGCAUUUGGUAAAAUAAUUUUGUAAAGUGGGCACCCCCCAAUUUUCCCCAGUUUUUGUUUCUAAGUUGUAGCUGCUCUUUCUAUCAAUAUUUUUUGCUAGUUCAAAUGCAUAAUAUUCAUAUCUAUUCGUUUUCAUAAUUGGUGAAAUUUUAAUUUUAUUUUAAUUAAAUAAAAUGUCCACAGGUAAGUAGAAUUAAUUUUUUUUUCCCUUUGCACAUUUGACUAUAGAAAUUAUUUUGUAGAGUAAUAACGAAAUAAAAAAUAUAUUACAUCCUUAGUUUUAAAAGGAAUGAUUUAUUUCAACUUCACACGAAGGAUAAGAAAAUUAGAAAAAAAAAAAACUUUUGUAUCUUGUGAUCAUAAAUUUAUGUUAUGUCAAUGUACCCAAAUAUCCUUUAUCUUGUGGUUCUGAACAUGACACAUAGAAACUUGAAAUUAAAUCCAAAAGAAAAAAACUUCAUUCUUUUUAAACAAAUUAAAAUGAAAAAUAGGUCUUUAUUUUUUAAGUUAAGGGAGUAGCAAACAUCUACAAGGCAUUCAUCUAUCCACUGUUCACAUCAUUCAAAAAUAAUUUCAAUUUGAACUUUUUCAUGAUAUCUAAAAUAAUUUUAAAAAUUAAUUUGUUAAACCUUAAAAAAUAAUUUCAGUAGUGAUUUUUGUUCAUACUUUAUUAUGAUAUAUGAGAAUUUAUGUGAUAAUUUUUUUAUUAAAUGUAAAUUUCAAUAAUAUACUUGAAUCAACUGGAAAGAAUAAUUUUAAUUUUAAAGAUAAAUUAUAUUUAAAUUUAUUCCAUUCAAAUAUCGUUUUAACCGUGGUGUCCAGAUGAGCUUUCUCAAAGUUCUUACAUUAAUUUUUAAUAACAAAAAAAACUCUUUUGUAAAUAUCAAUCCUAUCCCAAAGUUGUAUAAUCUCUCACGUGGAACCCAUUCCUUCACAAUUUUUUUUAUAUAUUUUUUACUUGUUCUAAUGCAUAAUACUCAUUUCUAUUCCCUUUUAUAAGUGGUGAAAUUUUAAUUUUAAUUUGUUCAAGUGAAAUGUCCACAGACAAGUAGAAUUAAUUUUUUUUCAUUGUACAUUUAACUAUAGUAAAUUAUUUAAUAGAGUAAUAACGAAAUAAAAAAAAAUAUAUUACUCCCUUCGUUUUAAACAGAAGGAUCUAUUUCAACUUGACACAGAGUAUAAGAAAAUAAAGAGAAUUGUUGUAUUUGGUGGUCAUAAAUUAAAGUUAUGUCAAUGUACUAAAAUGUCCUUUAUCUUGUAGUUCUAAACAUGACACGUGGGAAGUUAAAAUUAAAGUAUUAUUAAAAAAUAAAAAUUUAAAAUAUUAUCGAAAAAAUAAAAACUCAUCCUUUUUUAAACAAAUUAAAAUGGAAAAUAUGUCUUUAUUUUUGAAGUUGAGGAGCAACAAACAUCUCCAAGGUAUUUAUCUAUCCGUUGGUCACAUCAUUCAAAAAUAAUUUCAAGUUAAACUUUAUCAUGAUAUUAAUUAAUUCAACCUUAAAAAGUAAUUUAAGUAGUGAGUUUAGUUCUAACUUUAUUAUGAUAUAUGAGAAUUUUUGUGAUAAUCUUUUUAUUAAAUAUAAAUUUAAAUAAUAUACUUGAAUCAAAUAGGAAGAAUAAUUUUAAAUUUAAAGAGUUAUUGUUAUAUGUAGUUUUGAUGAUGAGUAGCUAAACUACAAGGAACCACGUCCCUGGACGUGCAAAGUACUGUACAACUGGCACACACUAUCUGCACAAUUUUGUCCUUUUGUGUAAUAAACUUGUAGGUGUGUAAUACUCCAAAAGUUCAGACAUUUUAGGAUCAUGCUUUGAACUCAUGAGUAAUAAAUUUUUAGUGUUUUGGCAGUGUUAUGAUCAAGGUUGAUUCAUAUUAAAGCCACGAAACUGUCCUAGUUAAUAGACGAAUUAAAAUAUUUCCUUACCGAUUAAAUUAUUGAGAAGAAUAUUAGUAUAGUCAACUUCAAACGAGGAUAUUGGUAUAGUCAACUUCAAAUGAGGAUAUUGGUACAGUAAACUUCAAACGAGUAUAUCUCUCAUUAUGUAAUGAAUUUCUGAGCUCAUAACCCACCAACAGAUAGAUAAUUGAAUUAUCCUUCCAACGAUAUCAAUUUCUCCUAAAUCCGAUAUCGGAACAAGGAGGUAUGCCCAUUUUACUCCAGCAUGUCAGGCUGGGAAACUGAGUGACGACAUUUGUGAUAAGCAGUCAUAAGUGUGACGACUUAUCACUAAUGUCAUCAGUCCUGGGCAGAUUUCCACCCCCAGUGAUGACAUUUUGUGAUAAGUCGUCACACCCAUGACGGCCUAUCACCAAUGUCGUCAGCCUUAACCAAAAAAUCAAAAUUUCACCUUUUUGUGACGAUAUUUCGUGACGACUUAUCACCAGCUUGACGACUUGUCAUGAAUGUCGUCAGCUAUUUUUUUCCAGCAAUUGAAGGAUGUUUUUGCAAGGGUAUUUUGGUCUUUUUCUUUACUUCCCAUAAUUUAUAACCCUCAAGGAGCGUAUUAUCUUUCAUUCUCUUUAGUUAAACAUCUCAAAAAGCUAUUCCAUACACUCUCAACCACAAGAUUAGGGUUUCCUCUCAACAUCAUCUCCUCAAGAACAAGAACAUUCUCUCCCAAAGGAGUUAAACCCUAGUCAAGAAAAAUCAAGAGCAAGCCUAAGGAUUUCUUCAAGAACCUUCAGAAACAUUUGAUCUCUUUUAAGAUUAAAACACUACGGUAUGCGUAGUAUUCAUCCAUGGAUCCCUUUUAUCCAUGGAGCUCAAGAAUCAUGUUUUAAAUUAUAAAUUGUGAUUUCCUUAUUGUUUUAUGACUAUAUUCAUAUUGAUAAUUGUUGUUUGGAUUCAAGGUUGUAUCUUGAUGUGUUUUUCAUGAAGCAUGUGAUUAGGUUAGUUGAAACCCAUGAAUUUUGGAUGGAUUAAGAUUGUCAAAUUGAUAAGUACACCUAUGCCCAAAUUUGUGCAUGUAAGGUGUUUGAUAAAAUUCCAAGAAUGAUAAAAUCCGUCUUUUAAUGACUUAAUAGUGCUAAAUGACAAGCCCAUGUUCUAUUCUUUAUGACUCGACAUGAAAUCUACGUUAUUAUUGUGUGUUAUAAUUGUGAUAUAGAAUGAGCAUGAUAUUGAAGCAACGCAAUUAUACAUGUUGUGUGCAUCCCCUUCCAUGUAUAAGAUGUUGAGAACCAAGUGUAGUAUGAUCAAGUCAGUCAUGUGUGUCAGUUUCCUUCCAUCGAGUCCUGAGGGUACUUGUACCCAAAAAAAUAUAGCUUUGUACCUAGAGCCAUGUCAUGUUAUCAUAAUACUCUCAGUCAAGCCAUGAUCUAUAGAACUCAGAUAGUCAUGUGACUCAGGAAAUCUUUAAAAUCUCAUAAUCUCAGCUAAUUCUCAGAUAAUAGUACUAUUCUGUCAGUCAACAGAAGUCAGUAACUCAAUCCAUGUACAGUCAGUUAAUCAUGUUCAAUCUCUUCAGAUGGGAGUAGAAGUUAGCACCAAGUGAACCCAAGGAUGGGAACUCACUUUCCAAAUAAGGGUGUGAUUCUUAGAAGUCAUUCUUAUGUUCCAGAACUACGUAGCCGGCGUAGGUUGAGACAUCUUAACCUGUCAUAUAAGGGUUGAUGAGGUGAUUUGACCUGUCAGACAAGGGUCCCACCAUUCUCAUUAGAGUAACCUGCCAGAUAAGGGUCACUCACAGCUUGUCCUUACUAGUGGCUCGAUAUUAACACCCUUGUAAUUAGGGCAUAGAUUGGACCCCAACUCAGCUAUUAUAGCACAUUUAGGGAAUGUCAAUUAAACAACUACGUUCCACAGUUUCAGUCUCAGUCUCAGUAAAAGAACUCAGAUAGUUCUUUAGAUUUCAGUAUACCAAGACUAUCAGAUAUAGUCAAUUCAAUUACAGUGCGGAACUCAGGUAGUUCCAUCAUACAUAGUCAUCCAUAUUAUUAGAAAUCCUAGUAUUAGUCAUGUUAGAUAUCAAUAAACCAUUUAUUAGCGUACAGAUCUAGAUAUCACGUAUUCACGAUCUCAGUUACUAUGUAUGAAUGUUUGCACUCUCACGUUCGUAUUAGUCAUUCAGUUAGCACUGCUCAUAUAUGUAAACCCUUUUGCAUAUAGCCUAACUUACUCGUAUACUCAGUACUUUCAGUUGUACUGACUCAUUUAUGCUAUGGUGCUUUCUUUUAUGUUACACCAUAGGUUUAGAUCCACGAGUUCCAGAUCAGCAGUAGCAAUCGUAUUUCAGUAUAUAGAGUUGCAGUACGUCCUCUUCAUUCGAGGACGAUAUGAUUUGACUUCAUUUAUUUUCUUUGGUUAUCUUUCAUUUUAUGAAGUUAGUUGGAGACAUGUUCCUUCAACUCCUUACUUUGACAGUUUUAAGAGGCUUUUAGACUUAGUUCAGAUUUGUUUCAGACUGCAGUUAUUUUGGAUAUUUGUUACCCCAUAUGGAUGUUAUGAUUUAUCAGAUAUUUUAUUCAGUUGAACCUUAUGGCCUAUUGUUCAUGUUUUCUGCAUUUUACAUGUAUAUUAUUUAGUGUACAGGUACAGAUAUCAGUCAUGGGUUAGCUUUUGGUCCUUCGAGGUCAUAAGAACCGUGUAGCAUUCCAGUUCAAAAAAUUGGGGUGUUAUAAAUUUGGUAGCAGAGCCUAAGGUUUAAUAGUGUCCUAGGAAGUCUAAAAGCCGCAUCUAGUAGAGUCUUGUACAUGGGUAUGUUGCAUGCCACAUUUAUGUGCAGUAGGCUAUAAUAUAUUUUAGGAACAGUUCCCUUUUUUCCGUAUUCAUGUCGUGCUAGUGGGCAACGUCCAAACAGACUUUAUGCUCUUCAUAUCCGAUAGGAUCAGGAAAAUUCUCCCGAUGUCAUUUUUGGUACGCUGCAGAUUUUCCAUGUUCAUGUUUAUGUUUUGCUAGAUCCAGGUGCAUCUUUGUCUUUUGUUACUUCUUAUAUAGCAGGCGAUUUCAGAAUCAGUCCCAAAAUUUUAACAGAGCCCUUUUCAGUCUCUACCCCAGUAGAUAAAACCAUCAUAGCUCGGUGGGUAUACAGGAACUGCCCGGUUAUGAUAUUUCAGAAAGGUACGUCAGGAGAUUUAGUCGAAUUAGAGAUGAUUGAUUUUGAUUUCAUUAUUGGCAUGGAUUGGCUUUGUUCCUACUAUGCCAUAGUUGACUGCAAAAAAAGGAUAGCUCAAUUUCAAUUCCUAAAUGAGUCCGUCCUAGAGUGGAAGGGUAAUACUUCAUCUUUCAAGGGUCAGCUUGUUUCCUACCUUCGGGCAAGGAAAAUGAUAUCUAAGGGAUCUGUUUAUCAAUCAUCUCAUUCAUGUUAAAGACUUUGGUUUUGAAUCUCCUAGUCUCGAAUCAGUCCCAAUUGUAAAUGAGUAUUCAGACGUGUUUCUCGAGGAUCUUCCAGGCAUUUCUCCCAAAAGGGAAAUUGACUUCGGCAUUGACCUUAUUCUAGAUACUCAGCCUAUUUCUAUUUCGCCAUACAGAAUGGCACUAGCAGAACUCAGAAAACUAAAAGAACAAUUGAAGGAUCUCUUAGAUAAGUGUAACACCUCGUAUUCAAGUACGUGUAUUGGUCUUAUUUAUAUGGAAUUAAUUUUAUUUUAUUUUAUUUAUACCGGAAUUUGCCCGUCGAUGGUUCCAUGCGAAGGUUAUUGAAUAAGAUUUCCAACAAUAUAAAGAUUUCCAAAAACGGAUAGGUUUCGGAUAUAAUCGAUCACGUUCAAAACUAUAAAAUAGUGGCCGGGAUAUUUGGCAAUAGUAAAUGUGUAGGAAAAUUUCUUGCACACAAACUACUGAGGCCAGUCGAAUUUUUGUAUCAAAUUCAAAUGAUCAUAACUCCCUUAAUAUAAUAAACUGGGAGAGAUGCGACCUAUGAAAAGAAAGAUCUUUGAGUGUUCUUUCUAAUGCAAUUGGUUUCAUCCAAAUCCAACAUCUGAGUAAGGAGUUAUACUCAUUUUACUUCAGCCUAUCAAAACAGAUUUUUAGGGUCAACUUCAAACGACCAUACCUCCUUGUACUGGACGAACUGGGUGGCCUACUUUAUAUGAAAUGAAAUACCUUUUAAUUAUCCUUCCAACGAUACCAAUUUCACCCAAAUACGAUAUUGGAGCAAAUAUUUAUGGUCGAUCUACUUUAGCUUAUCAAAAUAGUCCACCAAAGGACAGAUUUGACAUUAUUUAAAUUUUAAAGGCAUUUUGGUCAUUCCUAUUAUAUUAUGGACGCGAAUAUGUGUAUAUAUACAUGUAUUGAGUUCAAAAACUCAUUUUCAUCAUCAAUCAUUGAGGAAGAACAAACCCUAGCCAAAUUUGACCUUUAAAUUACUUUUGAUUCAACCGUAGAAAUUCCAAAGUAAUCCGAUAACUGCGUUUGUCAUCUCGAGAGCUUCGAACGGCACCUAUUAUUUGUGCAAACAGGAUUGCAUAAUCAAGAGGUGAAUUCUAAGGUAUGAAUAUUGUUUACCUUUGUUCUUUUCCAAUGUAUAUGUGUGAUAGAGGAUUAUAUGUAUUGGUUAUUACUAAAAGGUGAUGGAAAUAGGGUUAUGGACUAUUUUGCAUGGUUUGGUAAUAUUGAAUUGUGCAAGGUGGAUAUGGUAAUUGAGUUAUGGAAGGUGGAUAUGGUGAUAUACUAUUCAAUUGAUGAUUAUUUAUAUUUAUGGCUCAAUUUGGUUUAAUGGAUUGGUUGGAAGGAUAAAUGAAUCCAAACUUGAUAUUGGAGGAUGUUGUAUGAAUAUGCAUGGCAUGUGAAUGUAAUUGGAGUAUAAGAGGGUUAAAGCGACACCCUUUAUGGUGUAAUUAAGGCUUACUACUUAACCACUAGUUUGGUGAAUUCAAAUAAUUGAAUUGUGACGUUUGGUUGCUAAUACUAGAUUGCUAUAUAUGUUCAUUGUAGAUAGGUAAUAUAAAAAGACAAGAAGUCCAUUUGGGAUAGUAGUGAAGGUUGACAGUCAGGUAUGUAAAGCAUACUCUAUACCAUAUCUUUGGUAUGAAAGUGAACAAUUGUUCUAUUAAGAAAGUUUCUAAAGUUAUUCAGUAACAUGUGAUCCAUAAUGGUUUUGUAUGAUGUCCUACGUUACCAAUGAACUUGUUUCCACCCUACAAGAUGUCAAGACAUUCCAAUACUUACUUGUUUUCUAAAUCUUACAUGUUUAUUGCACUAAUGAAUGUCAUAAGGUAUCCGGUUACUCAAACAAGAUCUAUGUGCUAUUAAUGACUCCAAAACAUUUCAUUGAUAUACAAAUAAGUCUCUACUUCAUUAUUAUGGCAUUGAUGACUCUAAAACAUUUCAUUGAUGUGCCAAUGAGUUCUUACCUCAUUGUUAUUACAUUGAUGGUCUAUUUAUAUGUCUCUUAUUGAUGUAUCAUUAUUUCAAAGUAUCAAAAAUACAGUGGCGACCGAAAUAAAAAUCAGAAGUUCUCUCUUAGUGGGUGGUAUCCUAGGGGCAUAAGACUAUCAUGGGUCGAUCCCUAUUUAUGUGUUUAUGGGUGGUAUCCCAGGGGCAUAAGCCUAUCAUGGGUCGAUUCCAGUUGAUAUGUACUGGAGGCAGCCUAAUGGUCACAGUACAGUACAGUACAGUAAUGAUUACAAAGAUGAUAAGAACGAAGGUAAAGUGAUUGAAUAAAUACAAUGUACAGGUUGUCACAAGUUCUAGUAAGUGUGGUCCACUCCUAUUACGAUUUAUUCACUUGUUUCUGAUUUCUAUUGAGCUCCUAUAUCAUAUGUGAUUAUCUACAGCUUUACAUACUCAGUACAUAUUUCGUACUAACGUUCCACGGGGGACCUGUAUUUCAUGCUGCAGGCACAGAUACCUCAGCUCAUACACCGCACAAGGAGCCAGGAUAUCCAGCUACUUUUGGUGAGCUCCAGUUUGAUUCGGGGCUUUCCGUGUCAUAUCCAGUCACUUUUGGUAUUGUAUAAAAGUUAGUUACAUGGUGAGGUGUGUCCCGACCUUAGUUAAACUCUAUGUAUUAUCUAGAGGCUUUGUAGACCUAAUGACAGUCAAGGUGGUGUUUUGUUAAUAGACGUGAUGGCUCCAACGGCCAAGUAUUGUAUAUACAUAUAUAUGUGUGCUCGAGCUUAUACAGGUGAUUAUUUUCUUUUAUAUGCGACAUGAUGCUUUUCGAAUUUUGGGUUGUCAUAGCGGUAUGCAUGGAAGUAUAAGUUAUGAGCUGGUUCUCCCAGGCCUCCUCGGUUACGGGUGCCAGUCCGCCCUAAUAGGAUUUGAGGCAUGACAAUAGUGGUAUUAGAGAAGUUCAUCCUAGUGAGUCUACAAAGCCGUGUCUACAUAGAGUCUUGAUUAUUGGUGUGUCAUGCACCGCAUCUAUAAACAGAAGGCUAUGGACAUUUAGGAAUUCUUUCUUUUUCUUCAUGUCUUAGAUCAUGCGAUAGAGCCUAUAUUGUAUAUGAAGUCAUAGUUGACCACUGAAUCCAUUUGUUUCUCUUAUUAUAGUAAUGAUGUCGGUUACCAGAAGUAAGAAUACCAGUAAACAAGUAGAUGUGGCUGCCGGAGAGGGGACUAGUAAGUCACCCACUAUACCAGCUAAUCAAAGUGAGGCUUCAUCUAAGUAUGAAUCAGAAACUUCUUCCACUCCAGAAAAAAUAAGGGAGAAGAGAACUAUAUCCCCAGAGCCACCUAUUAAUGCUGCUGAUCAAGAUCUUAGAAAUGUAGUGCAACUUUUGACUCGUAUAGUUGCUGGGCAAUAUCAAGAUAAAGCCAUUCCUACCACCGAUCUAAGUGGUACAGAUAGGACGGCUAGCCUUCGAACACAGGAUUUUCUUAAGAUAGAUCCUCCCACUUUUAUUGGAUCAGAUCUUAAUAAGGACCCACAGGACUUUAUUGAUCAAAUUCAAAAAGCCUUAGAUGUUAUGCAUGUAACGGGUAGAGAGACAGUGGAGUUAGCGGCAUAUAGAUUUAAAGGAGAGGCUAUAUAUUGGUACGAGGACUGGAAAUGAUCUAAGGGUAUUGAUAUACCCCCAGCUACUUGGAAAGAGUUCAAAGAGGCAUUUUUUGAUCAUUAUCUUCCAUUCGAGAUUCGUCAAGCCCGUGCAGAUCAGUUUUUAAAUCUUCGUCAGGGGAAUAUGAGCAUAAGGGAGUACAGUCUCUGAUUUAAUUCCUUGUUGAGAUAUGCUCCUAAUGUUGUAGCUACUAUGGAUAACAGAGUUCAUCAAUAUGUGGAUAGGCUGGAUCCAUAUCUGGUUAGAGAUUGUACUAUUACCGCUUUGAACAAAGAUAUGGACAUAGAAAGGAUCCAAGCUUUUGCACAUAAAAUGGAAGAUCAGAGGCAGAGGAGAAGAACACAGGAAUUAGAAAGAGGAUAUUCCAAGAGGUCCAGAUCUAUAGGGUAGUUCAUGGCAUCCCAAGGAGGGUUCAGACCACAGUUUUUUGCUAGACCACCUAGGCCAGUAUCUUCUUAUUCUACAGCUAGUGCCCCACCACAGUUUUAAGGGUCCAGAGAAAAUUAAUUUAGGCACAAAAGUGAGAGUCAGAGUUCGCGGACAGUGGGGUACCAAGGGAAAGGGAAUAUGAUCCAAUCGAGACCUCCUCGAGAGCCAUGUAAUAAAUAUGGAAGGUAUCAUUUGGGUGCAUGUCGGCUAGGGACCAAUGUUUGCUUUUGGUGCGGUAUGUCGGGGCAUAUGAUGAGAGAAUGCCUACAAAGGGGCAUAGGGGGUAUGGUACGACCUACGGGGUUAUUUGUUGCAUCAUCAUUAUUGAUGCCUUAUUCAGGAAGAGGUGCACAACCAAUGGGUCAUGUUAGAGGUGAUAAAGGAGCCACGAGUUCUAGCGGGGAUCAAAAUUGUACGUAUUCUCUAGCGAAUCGAUAGAAUUUAGAGGCUUACCCAGAUGUGGUUAUGGGUACGUUGUCUAUCUUUUAAUUCGAUGUAUACACCUUAAUUAAUCCUGGUUCUACAUUAUCUUAUGUUACUCCAUUGGUUGCUGGAAAGUUCAAAAGAAUACCUGAACUGUUAGUUAAGCCAUUUGAAGUGUCCACACCAGUGGGGGAAUCUAUUGUAGCUAGAAGGGUUUAUCGAAACUGCAUAGUAACUGUUUCUAGUCGUGAUACGAUGACUGUUCUCGUGGAUUUAGAAAUGGUAGAUUUUGAUGUUAUAAUGGGUAUGGACUGGUUGGUGUCUUGUUAUGCUAUAAUUGAUUGCUGUAUGAAAAAGGUAUAUUUUCAUUUUCCAAAUAAAUUAGUCCUUAAAUGGAAAGGUGAAAUUAGCGCGCCAAGAGGUAGAUUUAUUUCUUGGUUUAAGGCAAGAAAAAUGAUUUCCAAGGGAUACAUAUAUUAUUUAGUUAGAGUAAGGGAUACAGAAGCGGAGCCACCAACUCGUCACGUUGUUCCGGUGCUAAAUGAAUUUUCUAAUGUAUUUCCUGAAGAUCUUCCAGGUUUGCCUCCUAAACGAGAAGUAGAGUUUGGUAUUGAUGUAAUACCAGGCACCUAACCAAUCUUCAUUCCUCCGUAUAGAAUGGACCCAGCAAAAUUAUGAGAACUGAAAGAGCAAUUGAAAGAUUUGCUAGAGAAGGGAUUCAUAAGGCCUAGUAUGUCCCCCUGGGGAGCACCAGUGUUAUUUGUGCGUAAAAAGGAUGGCUCGCUGAGAAUGUGUAUUGAUUAUCGGCAAUAUUUGUACGCAAAAAGGAUGGCUCCCUGAGGAUGUGUAUUGAUUAUCGGCAAUUGAAUAAGGUGACUAUUAAGAAUAAAUAUCCUCUCCCAAGAAUUGAUGAUUUAUUUGAUCAGUUACAGGGCGCCAAGUGCUUUUCUAAGAUUGAUUUGAGGUCAGGUUACCACCAAGUGAGGGUCAAAGAAAAAGAUAUACCCAAAACAGCUUUCCGAACAAGGUAUGGUCAUUAUGAGUUUCUAGUUAUGUCAUUUGGGCUAACAAAUGCACCCGCAGCUUUUAUGGAUUUGAUGAAUAGGGUUUUUAAGCCAUUCCUGGAUGUAUUUGUGAUAAUUUUUAUAGAUGAUAUUCUAGUUUAUUCUAGAUCAGAAGAGGACCAUGCCAAUCACUUACGACAGGCAUUGCAGACUCUUCGUCAUUGUAAGCUUUAUGCAAAGUUCUCUAAAUGUGUGUUUUGGUUAAAGUCAGUGGCAUUUUUGGGUCAUGUUGUAUCUAGUAAAGGGAUAAAGGUCGAUGCUCAAAAGAUAGAAGUUGUGAAGAACUAGCCAAGGCCCACAACGCCUACAAAGAUUCGUAGUUUUCUUGGGUUGGCCGGUCAUUAUAGAAGGUUUUUUGAAGGAUUUUCUUCCAUUUUAGCACCCUUAACCAAGCUAACCCAUAAAGCAUCCAAAUUCCAAUGGAAUGAUGUCUGUGAGAAGGGUUUUCAAGAUUUAAAGAACAAGUUGAUUUCUACACCCGUAUUGGUACUUCCAGAAGGCACCGAAGGUUAUACAGUGUAUUGUGAUACUUCCAAAAUUGGUUUAGGAUGUGUAUUGAUGCAUCAUGGUAAGGUAAUAGCAUAUGCUUCUAGAUAAUUGCGGCCACAUGAGAAAAAUUAUCCUAUACACGAUCUUUAGCUGGCAGCAAUUAUUUUUGCUUUAAAGAUAUGGAACCACGACUUAUAUGGGGUUCAUGUUGAUAUAUAUACUGACCAUAAGAUCUUGCAAUAUAUUUUUAAUCAAAAGGAUCUAAAUUUAAGGCAGGGGAGAUGGCUUGAACUAUUAAAGGACAACGAUGUUAAUAUCUUGUACCAUCAGGGAAAGAAAAUGUGGUAGCUGAUGCGUUAAGUCGUAAGGCUAUGAUGGCGCCUAUAUAAAGGCAAGGGAUGAUUAAAGAUCUUCACCAGUUAGCUAGUUUGGGAGUUUGCUUUCUUGAAACUACAAAUAAAGAGCUUAUCGUACAUAAUGUUGCGGGAUCUUUAUUAGUAGCUGAAGUGAAAGAGAAGCAAUAUACAGAUCCUAUUUUAUUAUAGCUUAAGGAGAACAUUCAGAGUGGUGCAACCAAGGUAUUUGAGCUUACGUGAUAAGGAGUACUUCAGUGCCAAAACUGAUUGUGUGUGCCGGAUAUAGACGGGCUAAGAAAGAAGAUUAUGACAGAGGCACAUUGUUCAAGGUAUUCCAUUCAUCCAGGAUCAACCAAAAUGUAUCAAGAUUUGAAAUAUAUGUAUUGGUGGAAUGACAUGAAGAAGAAUUGCAAAAGUUGUAGCUGAAUGUCCAAAUUAUCAAAGAGUUAAAAGUUGAGCACCAAAAACCCGGAGGUUAUAUGCAAUGCAUUGAUCUUCUAAGCUGAAAGUUGGACAUGAUCAACAUGGAUUUCAUUAUUGGUUUGCCUCUUACAUCCCGGAAGUUCAAUUCUAUAUGGGUGAUUGUUGAUAGGCUUACCAAAUCCGUACAUUUCCUACCGGUUAGGACCACUUACACAGUUGAAGAGUAUGCGAAGCUAUACAUUAAAGAGAUAGUCUGAUUACAUGGAGUGCCAAUUUUUAUUAUAUCAGAUCGGGGAACCCAAUUUACCACAAACUUUUGGAAGUCUUUUCAGAGGUGUUUGGGAACACAAGUGAAGUUGAGUACAACUUUUCACCCUUAAAUAGAUGGACAAGCAGAACGUACCAUCCAAACACUUGAAUAUAUGCUAUGAGCUUGUGUAAUAGAUUUUAAGGGCAACUGGGAUGAUUAUUUAUCUCUUAUUGAGUUUGCCUACAAUAAUAGCUACCAUUCAAGUAUCAAAAUGGCACCAUAUGAAGCUUUAUAUGGAAGGAAGUGUAUAUCACCAAUAGGAUGGUUCGAAGUGGGUAAAACUCUUUUGUUUGGACCGAAUCUUAUUUAUCAAGCCAUAGAGAAGGUUAACGUAAUUCAGCAAUGAUUGAAAAUAUCCCAAAGUCAACACAAGUCAUAUGCGGAUAGUAGAAGGAGAGGGCUAGAGUUUUUAUAGGUGAUUGGGUAUUUUUGAAGGUAUCACCAAUGAAAGGAGUAAUGAGAUUUGGCAAGAAAGGUAAGUUCAGUCCACAUUAUAUAGGCCCGUAUAAGAUCACUCAAAGGUUUGAAUAAGUUGCAUAUGAAUUAGAGCUACCCCAAGAGCUCUCAUCAGUACAUUCGAUAUUUCAUGUGUCAAUGCUUUGAAAGUGCAUCGAAGAUCCAUCACAUAUCACUUCUAUUGAGGAUGUGCAAGUUGCGAAGAUCUUACCUAUGAGGAAGUGCCUAUUGCUAUUCUAGAUUGCCAAGUUAAGAAGAUGAGAAAUAAAGAGAUAGCACCUGUGAAAGUACGCUGGAGAAAUCGUCAAAGGGAAGAGAUUACAUGGGAAGCUGAGAAAUCAAUGAAAUCUAAGUACCCUCAUUUGUUCAAAGAUGAAGAGGAAGUUCAAGAAACGUAGUUAGAACAUUAACAAGUAAGUUUUUUUUAUAUAUGCAUAGUAUUUAUGUGAUGAUGUGAAUAUUAAUGAUGGAAUUGAACUUGUUUCGGUUGAAUAACUAUGCUAACAUUCAAGGACGAAUGUCCUAAAUGGGGGAAGGAUGUAACACCCCGUAUUCAAGUACAUGUAUUGAUCUUCUUUAUAUAGAAUUAAUUUUUUAUUUUAUUUAUAUCAGAAUUUUCCCGUCGAUGCUUCCAUGCGAAGGUUAUUGAAUAAGCUUUCCAACGAUAUAAAGAUUUCCAAAAACGGAUAGGUUUCGGAUAUAAUUGAGCACGUUCGAAACUAUAAAACGGUGGCUGGGAUAUUUGGGAAUAGAAAACGUGCAGGAAAAUUUCCUACACACAAACUACUGAAGCCAGCCGAAUUUUUAGGUCAACUCCGAACAAUCAUAACUCCCUUAAUAUAAUGAAAUGAGAGAGUUGCGACCUAUGAAAAGAAAGAUAUUUGAGUCUUCUUUCCAAUGCAAUUGUUUUCAUCCAAAUCCAACGUCUGAGGAAGGAGUUAUACUCAUUUUACUUCAGCCGAUCAAAAUAGAUUUUUUGGAUCAACUUCAAACGACCAUAACUUAUUUUACAGGAUGAACUGGGUGGCCUACUUUAUAUGAAAUGAAAGACCUUUGAAUUAUCCUUCCAACUAUACCAAUUUCACCUAAAUAUGGUAUUGGAGCAAAGAGUUAUGGUCGAUCUACUUUAGCUUAUCAAAACAGUCCACCAAAGGAUAGAUUUGACAUUAUUUAAAUUUUAAAGGCAUUUUGGUCAUUCCUAUUAAAUUAUGGAUGGGAAUAUGUGUAUAUAUACAUGUAUUGAGUUCAAAAACUCAUUUUCAUCAUCAAUCAUUGAGUAAGAACAAACCCUAGCAAAAUUUGACCUUUAAAUUACUUUUGAUUCAACCGUAGAAAUUCCAAAGUAAUCCGAUAACUGCAUUUGUCAUCUCGAGAGCUUCGAACGACACCUAUUAUUUGUGCAAAUAGGAUAGGAUUGCAUAAUUAAGAGGUGAAUUCUAAUGUAUGAAUAUUGUUUGCCUUUGUUCUUUUCCAUAUGUAUAUGUGUGAUAGAGGAUUAUAUGUAUUGGUUGUUAUUGAAAGGUGAUGGAAAUAGGGUUAUGGACUAUUUUGCAUUGUUUGGUUGUAUUGAAUUGUGGAAGGUGGAUAUGGUAAUUGAGUUAUGGAAGGUGGAUAUGAUAAUUGAGUUAUGGAAGGUGGAUAUGGUGAUAUACUAUUGAAUUGAUGAUAUGAUAAUUGAGUUAUGGAAGGUGGAUAUGAUAAUUGAGUUAUGGAAGGUGGAUAUGGUGAUAUACUAUUGAAUUGAUGAUUAUUUAUGUCUAUGGCUCAAUUUGGUUUAAUGGAUUGGUUGGAAGGAUAAAUGAAUCCAAACUUGAUAUUGGAGGAUGUUGUAUGAAUAUGCAUGGCAUGUGAAUGUAAUUGGAGUAUAAGAGGGUUAAAGUGACACCCUUUAUGGUGUAAUUAAGGCUUACUACUUAACCACUAGUUUGGUGAAUUCAAAUAAUUGAAUUGUGACGUUUGGUCGCUAAUACUAGAUUGCUAUAUAUGUUCAUUGUAGAUAAGUAAUCCGAAAAGACGAGAAGUCCAUUUGGGACUAGUAUUGAAGGUUGACAGUCAGGUAUGUAAAGCAUACUCUAUACCAUAUCUUUGGCAUGAAAGUGAACAAUUAUUCUAUUAAGAAAGUUUCCAAAGUUAUUCAAUAACAUGUGAUCCAUAAUGGUUUAGUAUGAUNNNNNNNNNNNNNNNNNNNNNNNNNNNNNNNNNNNNNNNNNNNNNNNNNNNNNNNNNNNNNNNNNNNNNNNNNNNNNNNNNNNNNNNNNNNNNNNNNNNNNNNNNNNNNNNNNNNNNNNNNNAUCGAAAUAACAAUCUCAAAGAUUAAUUGAACUAAGUGAUGGAAGUUCUCUCUUAUCGGGUGGUAUCCCAGGGGCAUAAGCCUAUCAUGGGUCGAUCCCUAUUUAUGUGUUUAUAGGUGGUAUCCCAGGGGCAUAAGCCUAUCAUGGGUCGAUCCCAGUUGAUAUGUACUGGAGGCAGCCUAAUGGUCACAGUACAGUACAGUAAUGAUUACAAAGAUGAUAAGAACGAAGGUAAAGUGAUUGAAUAAAUACAUUGUACAGGUUGUCACAAGUUCUAGUAAGUGUGUUCCACUCCUAUUAUGAUUUAUUCACUUGUUUUUUAUUUCUAUUGAGCUCCUAUAUCAGAUCUGAUUAGCUACAGCUUUACAUACUCAGUACAUAUUUUGCAUUGACGUCUCCCACGGGGGACCUACAUUUCAUGCUGCAGGCACAAGUACCUCAGCUCAUACACCGCACAAGUAGGAGCCAGGAUAUCCAGCUGCUUUUGGUGAGCUCCAGUUUGCUUCGGGGCUUUCUGUGUCAUAUCCAAUCACUUUUCGUUUUGUAAUGUAAAGUCAAGGUGGUGUUUUGUUAAUAGAUGUGAUGGCUUCAACGUCCAAGUAUUUUAUAUACAUAUAUAUGUGUGCUCGAGCUUAUACAGGUGAUUAUUUUCUUUUAUAUGCAACAUGAUUCUAUCCAAAUUUCGGGUUGUUGUAGAGGUAUGCAUGAGAAGUAUAAGGUUAUGAGCUGAUUCUCCCGGGCCUCCUUGGUUACGGGUGCCAGACCGCCCCAAUAGGAUUUGAGGCAUGACAAUAAGGGAUUCAUUAGACCCAGCAUUUCCCCAUGGGGUACACCAGUCUUAUUUAUGUGUAAGUAAGAUGGGUCUCUCAGGAUGUGAAUUGAUUACCGUCAGCUCAAUAAAGUCACGAUCAAGAACAAGUAUCCUCUUCCUAGGAUUGAUGGCUUGUUUGACCAACUUUAGGGUGCCAGUUAUUUCUCAUAGAUAGACCUCAGAUCAGGCUAUCAUUAACUCAGAGUAAGAGAAUGUGACAUCCCAAAGACAGCUUUCCGUACUCAGUAUAGUCACUUCGAGUUUCUAGUUAUGUCCUUUGGUCUUACCAAUGCCCCAGCCGCUUUCAUAGACUUAAUGAACCGUGUGUUCAAGAAGUACUUGAACAUGUUCAUCAUAGUCUUCAUAGAUGAUAUCCUAGUCUAUUCCCGCACAGAGUGAAAUCAUGCAGACCAUCUCAGAAUUGUUCUUCAGACCCUCAGAGAUCACCUAUUAUUCGCUAAAUUCAGUAAGUGCAAGUUUUGGCUAAUGUCAGUAGCAUUUCUUGGCCAUAUAUUUUCUGUCGAUGGCAUUAGAGUAGAUCCUCAGAAGACCGAAGUGGUAAGAAAAUAGCCUCGCCCUGUCUCUCCAUCAGAUAUUAGGAGUUUCUUAGGUUUGGCUAGCUAUUACAGAUGGUUUGUUAAGGGAUUUUCUUGUAUUGCAUCCCCUAUGUCCAGAUUGACUCAAAAGAAGGUCAAGUUUUAGUGGCCAGAUUUUUGCGAGAAGAGUUUUCAGGAGUUGAAGACUCGACUCACCUCAGCUCCAGUUCUAGCUCUUCCAGAUGGUUCAAAUGGGUUCAUAGUAUAUUGUGAUGCAUCUAGAGUGUGUCUAGGUUGUGUCCUCAUACAUCAUGGUAAGGUCAUAUCCUACUCCUCCAGACAGAUAAAACGUCAUAAGUAGAAUUAUCCUACUCAUGUCUUGAGUUAGCAGCCGUAGUAUUUGCCUUAAAGAUUUGGAGGCAUUAUCUAUACGAAGUUCAUGUAGAUAUCUUCACAGAUUAUAAGAGUCUCCAGUAUGUCUUUUCUCAGAUAGAUCUCAAUCUUUGUUAGAUAAGGUGGUUAGAGCUUUUGAAAGAUUAUGACAUGAGUGUCCUUUACCAUCCAGGAAAGGCCAACGUUAUGGCGGAUGCUCUCAGUAGACUCUCCAUAGGUAGUGUUUCUCACGUUGAGGAUAGAAAAAAUAAGAUAGCUCAAUAAAUCCAUCAGCUUACCAGACUAGGUGUUCUCUUAGUUGAUUCUUCAGAGGGUGGUAUAUAUGUUCAGAGUAGUUUAGAAUCAUCUCUAGUUUCCAAGGUGAAAGAAAAGAAAGACAGGUAUCCUAGCGUUGUCAAGCUAAAAGAGUCAAUCAAAGAUCAGAAGGUUGAGGUUUUCUCCCAAGGGAGAGAUAGUGUCCGUUGUCAGGGUCGUCUCUGUGUUCCAGAUGUGGAUAACUUAAGGCAGUGGGUUCUUUCAAAGGCACAUGGUGCGAGAUACUCUAUUCAUCAGGGGCCACUAAGAUGUACCAUGACUUAUGGGAGAUCUAUUAGUGGAGUGGGAUGAAGAGAGAUGUUGCAUCUUUUGUGGAUAAGUACUCUACAUGUCAGCAGGUUAAGAUAGAGCAUCAGAAGCCUAGUGGUUCUAUGCAAGAGUUCACUAUUCCUACUUAGAAGUGGGAAGAAGUGAAAAUAGACUUCGUGAUGGGUUUGUCUUGAACUCGCCAUCAUCAUAAUUCAGUUUGGAUCAUUAUAGACAGGAUAACCAAGCCGACUCAUUUCCUUCCAGUCCAUACAUCUCAUUCAGUCGAGGAUUAUGCCAAACUCUACAUCAGGGAGUUGGUCAGAUUACACGGUAUUCCACUAUCUAUUAUCUCAGACAGAGGUACCCAGAUCACCUCUCACUUCUGGAAAGAGUUCCAAUAGGGUCUUGGUACCCAAGUUUAUCUUAUAUAGCUUUUUAUCCUCAGAUAGAUGGUCAAGCAAAAAGGACCAUUCAGACUCUAGAAAAUAUGCUGAGGGCGUGUGCAAUUGAUUUCAAGGGAAGUUGGGAUGACCACUUGCCUUUGAUUGAGUUUACAUACAACAAUAGCUAUCAUUCCAAUAUUCAGAUGGCUCCAUUCAAAGAUCUCUAUAGUAGGAGAUGUAGAUCUCUAAUCGGUUGGUUCGAAAAUAGUGAGGCCUCAUUCAUAGGGCCUUACUUAGUGUUUGAUGCCUUAGAGAAGGUUCAGUUAAUUAGAGAGAGACUUUGGGCCACUAAGAGCUGACAAAAGUAUUAUGUAGACGUUUGUAGAAAGGAUCUAGAAUUCAAAGUUGAUGAUUUUGUCUAUCUCAAGAUCUCUCCUAUAAAGAGGGUGAAGAGAUUCGGCAAGAAAGGAAAGCUCAGUCCCCGAUAUAUCGGUCCUUUCAAAAUUCUCAGUCACUUGGGCAAGGUAGCUUAUGAGCUCGAAUUGCCUCCAGAUCUAGCUUUAGUUUAUCCAGUCUUCCAUAUCUCUUUACUCAAGAAGUGAUAGGUGACCCUUCAAUUGUAGUCCCUACUCAGAGCAUGGAUAUCCAGAAAAGCCUCUCUUAUAAAGAGAUUCCAGUUGAAAUUCUAGACUAUCAGACUCGUAGACUGAGGAACAAAAAAGUCCCUCUAGUCAAAGUUCUUUGGAGAAACUAGUCCAUUGAGGGAGAUACUUGGGAAGUAGAAGCAGAUAUGUAUACCAAGUAUCCUCACCUCUUCUCUGCCAAUUCAGAUCAAGAUCAGGGUAAUGGUUCUCUUUAAGAUUAUUUAGUUUUAUGUUCAGGAUUCCAUUUACGAAUUUGGUACUAAAUAUCAUUGCAUUCGGUCAUACAUACAUGUAAUAGUUCAGUCACAUAAUCAUGCAUCAGAUAUUCAUGAGUUCGCUUGUCAAUGCAUCAGAUAUGCAUGUUCAGUAUGUUCAGAUAUAUUCAAGUUAUCAUUCAGGUCAGUCAUGUCAUCAUAUUUUAGAUGUUGCAUCCCUUAAGUAAGGCUAGUACACUAGUAAUCUCAGAUUAGUCAGUCUCAUUCGAGGAUGAAUAUUCCCAAGGAGGAGAUAUUGUAAUACCCCAAAAGUUCAGACAUUUUAGGAUCAUGCUUCGAACUCAUGAGUAAUAAAUUUUUAUUGCUUUGGUAGUGUUAUUAUCAAGGUUGAUUUAUAUUAAGUCCUAAAAUAUGUCCUAGUUAAUAGAUGAAUCAAAACAUUUCCUUACCGAUUGAAUUCUUGAGAAGGAUAUUGGUAUAGCCAAAUUCAAAUGAGCAUAUCUCUCGUUAUGCUAUGAAUUUCUGAGAUCAUUACCCACCAAAAAUUAGAUAAUUGAAUUUUCCUUCCAACGAUACCAAUUUCGCCUAAAUCCAAUAUCGGAUCAAGGAGUUAUGCCUAUUUUACUUCAGCAUGUUAGGCUGGGAAACUGAGGGAUGACAUUCGUGAUAAGCUAUCACAAGUGUGCUGACUUAUCACCAAUGUCAUCAGCCCUGGGUAGAUUUCCACGCCCAGUGAUGACAUUUUGUGAUAAGUCAUCACGCCUGUGAUGGCCUAUCACCAAUGUCAUCAACCUUAACUAGAAAAUCAAAAUUUUACCUUUUUGUGACAAAACUUCAUAACGACUUAUCAUCAGCUUGAAGACUUGUCAUGAAUGUCGUCAACUAUUUUUUUUAGCAAUUGAGGGACGUUUUUGUAAAGGUAUUUUGGUCUUUUCCUCCACUUCCCAUGACUUAUAACCCUCAAGGAGCAUAUUAUUUUCCAUUCUCUUUAGUUAAACAUCUCAAAAAUCUCUCUCAUACACUCUCAUCCACAAGAUUAGGGUUUACUCUCAAGAUCAUCUUCUCAAGAACAAGAACAUUCUCUCCCAAAGGGUUUAAACCUUAGUAAAGAAAAAUCAAGAGCAAUCCUAAGGAUUUCUUCAAGAACCUUCAGAAACAUUAGCUCUCUUUCAAGAUUAAAUCACCAAGGUAUGCGUAGUGUUCAUCCAUGGAUCCCUCUCAUCCAUGGAGCUCAAGAAUUAUGUUUUAAAUUAUAAAUUGUGAUUUCCUUGUUGUUUUAUGACUAUAUUCAUGUUGAUGAUUGUUGUUUGGAUUCAAGGUUGUAUCUUGAUUUGUUUAUCAUGAAUCAUGUGAUUAGGUUAGUUGAAACCCAUGAAUUUUGGAUGGAUUAAGAUUGUCAAAUUGAUAAGUACAAAUAUGCCUAAAGUUGUGCAUGCAAGGUGUUUGAUAAAAUACCAAUAAUGAUAGAAUCCAUAUUUUUAUGACUUAAUAGUGAUUAAAUGAAAAGCCCACAUUCUAUUCUUUAUGACUCGACAUAAACUCCACAUUAUUAUUGUGUGUUAUUAUUGUGAUUUGGAAUGAGCAUGAUUUUGAAGCAAAGCGAGUAUAUACAUGUUGUGCGCAUCCCCUUCCAUGUAUAAGAUGUUGAGAACCAAGUGUAGUAUGAAAUCCCCUACUUAUAAUAUUGUGAAUUGUGGACUCUAUUCUUAUGAUCAAGUCAGUCAUGUGUGUUCGUUUCCUUUCAUCGAGUCCUCGGGGUACUUGUACCUGAAAAAUAUAGAUGUGUGCCUAGAGCCAUGUCAUGUUAUCACGAUACUCUCAGUCAAACCAUGAUCUAUAAAACUCAGACAGUCAUGUGACUCAGGAAAUCUCAAAAAUCUCAUGAUCUCAGUUAAUUCUCAGAUAAUAGUACUAUUCCGUUAGUCAACAGAAGUCAGUUACUCAGUCCAUAUACAGUCAGUUAAUCAUGUUUAAUCUCUUCAGACGGGAGUAAAAGUUAGCACUGAGUGAACCCAAGGAUGGGAACUCACCUGCCAGAUAUGGGUGUGAUUCUUAGCAGUUAUCCUUGUGUUCCAAAACUAUGUAGCCAGCGUAGGUUGAGACAUCUUAACCUGUCAGAUUAGGGUUGAUGAGGUGAUUUGACCUAUCAGACUAGGGUCUCUCCGUUCUCAUUAGAGUAACCUGCCAGAUAAGCGUCACUCACAGCUUGUCCUUACCAGUGAUGAGGUAUUGACACCCUUUUAAUCAGGGCACAGAUUAGACCCCAGCUCAGCUAUUAUAGGGCAUUUGGGGCAUGUCGGUUAAACAACUACCUCCCCCAGUUUCAGUCUCAGCCUCUGUAAAAGAACUCAGAUAGUUCUUGAGUUUUUAUUAUACCAUGACUGUCAGAUAUAGUCAAUUCAAUUACAGUACGGAACUCAAGUAGUUCCAUCAGAUUCAGGCCUAUUAAACACAGUCAUCCAUGUUAUCAGAAAUCCUAGUAUUAGUAAUGUUAGACAACAAUAAACCAUGUAUUAGCGUACAGAUCUAGAUAUCACAUAUUCACAAUCUCAGUUAUUAUGUAUGCAUGUUUGCACUCUCACGUUCAUAUUAGUCAUUCAGUUAGCACUACUCAUACAUGUAAGCCUUUUUGCAUAUAGUCUACCUCACUCGUAUGCUCAGUACUUUUAGUUAUACUAACGGAUUUGCACUAUGGUGCUUUCUUUUAUGUUACACCAUAGGUUCAGAGCCACGAGUUCCAGAUUAGCAGUAGCAAUCGCAUUUUAGUAUACAAAUUUGCAGUGUGUCCUCUUUAUUUGAGGACGAUAUAUAUUUGACUGCAUUUAUUUUCUUCGAUUAUCUUUCAGUUUACGGAGUUAGUUGGAGACAUUUUCCUUCAACUCUUAACUCAGACAGUUUUUAGAGGCUUUCAAAUUUAGUUCAGUUUUGUUUUAGACUUCAGUUAUUUUGGGUAUUUGUUACCCCAUAUGGAUGUUAUGAUUUGUCAGAUAUUUUAUUUAGUUGAACCUUACGGCCUAUUGUUCAUGUUUUCUCUAUUUUACAUGUAUAUUACGCAGUGUACAGGUACAGAUAUCAGUCAUGGGUUAGCUUGUGGUCCUUUGGGAUCAUAAGCACCGUGUUGCAUUUCGGUUCAGAAAAUUGGGGUGUUACAAGGUGCUAUCUUGUAUCAACUUGGAUAGCUCGUCCAAUGAUAUUCCAUCCUUAAUCGUCACCCAUCUAUAAAAGGAAAGAGACCGCUUUUCAACAACUGGUUUUUCCAUAUUCUAAAGAGUGAAAAGAGAGGCAACAAAACCUCAUUUCUACACAACUCAAGUUCUUCGCUGACUGUUUAUGCUUAAAUAGAUCUUUUUUCUUGAGUGAGUGUUUAAUUGUAACUAAACUACACAUGUUAUAAGAGUAGUGUUUUUCUCUUUUUAAGGAGAGUACUUAGGUAGACUUGACUAUGCUUGUCUCUAGUUAGAGUUAACCAUUUGUUUAGGGAAACUUAGUAGAGGCAUCAAGGUGUACGUGCAAUAGAGGUAUUAAAAAUAGGAAGAACCUAGAGUUAGGUUCACAGUCAAGUCUGUAAUCAAGAGUUUGGCUAUAUGGACUGAUUGGUGCUUGUAAGGGCAAUCCGUUCUUUUUCUCUUUCAGGGUUUCCACGUAAAAAUUUUUUAUUCUUACUUUCUUGCAUUUCCUUAAAAUUUCCAGCACCUUCUAAUUACUUUACUACUCUAUUGCUUAAUAUUGACCUUGAGGGACCUGGUCCCUCACCGUGUGGUUUAACCCCCAAUGGUUCCUAUAAUUGGUUUCAAAGAUAGGUUCACUCUAAAAGGAUCAUACCUAGAGUGUUCUGGUCAUCAUGACUUCUAUAGUUGAACUAAGGGAGGAAAGAAAAGAAGAAAAAAGGGAGAGAUUUUUGAUCCUAAAGUUUUUAGAAUUUGAUUCAGGAGAAGAAGACAUUCUUGUUUCACUCUUAGAUAUAAGAUUUAUUAGAGCUAUACAAAAGGCUGGUCAACUUAGCAAAUUAAAUUAUAAGAUUGAAGGUUGCCACAAAGAUGACAGCUCUGAAGAAUUCAUGAAAACCUACCCAGUGAAAAGAAGAAUCAAGAUCGUAAAAGAUCAAGAAGAGAAGGUGGAGCUAGUCGUAUAGUAAAAAAGGUGUUGGCUGUAUAGGAAGGUUUGUCUAUCAAAUCUGGGAAAGGCAAAGAGUAUGAAGAUUUUUCCAUGCUGAAACAAGAUGAUAAAAAAAUAACUAGAUUCUCGGUAUUGUCAAAUAUCAGGAUGGGGAGACUCCUCUAGUAAUUCAUGUGAAGAUGAGAAAAUAAUAUACAUCUCUAUACUAGCAAUCGAAGACGGUCCAAUUACCUAUGACUCCUUGUUUUCAUUUUUGGAAAACACAAAAAAUAAAGAAGAAAAGGAAGUAACACUUCUUGAUCUUAAGGAAAAUCUAGGUAACUAUACUGUUAUGAAAAUAAAAAAAUCUUUCUAGUGUGUUGAUAGAGUUUAUACAUGAAUUAUUUGCUGAUAAGAAUGCACUGGUUAAGAAAGUAGAGAAUCAAGAACAUGAGUUGAUUACCUUGAAUCUUCGUUUAUCAGUAACCAAAGAAAUGAUCUCUAAGUUUAAAUCUGAGAAUUUGAGUUGUAUAUGUUAACUAAAAAGGGGAAGUGAUUUAGAUGAAAAAAAUAAGAACAAAGCCUCAAAGCUUCAAAUUGUUAUUGAAUAAAAAAUGAGGGAUUCUCAAUAACACCUUAUGGCUAUACUUUAAAGGAAUGAAAAAAUGGAAAGGGACCUGGUCCGCUUAAGAGAAGAGCUGAACAAAUCUCUUAAAUAGACUGCUCCUACAUAGACUCUUUCUAAUCUACUUAGAUAAGGUGUUAAUAAUGAAAAAGGGGUUUGUUAUCAAGCAGAAAUUCAACCAGUUUAGUCAAAAGAAAAGACUGCUCAUUACGUUAGAAGCAAAGAAUAUAAAUUCAAGCGUAAUCACUAUGGAACAGAUUGACUUCUAAUAAGGGGAUGUCAGCACUAGCCUAAGGCCCAAUUAAGGAGUAUUGAAUGUAGUAAGAAAGAAAAUAAACUUUUUGAGGGCCUCAAAUCUUUGAAAAAAUCAAAGAGGAAGCUAUUACUACCUAGAUGGGCUAAGAAUAAUUUGAUCACACCAUUGUCUUCAUACUGGGAAGUCAAGCUCAAGUGGGUUCCCAAAUCCAACGUGUUAUGAUGAACUUAGAUAUGGGAAAAGGGAUUGUACUGAGGAAUAGCUCAUCGACUAAAAAAGUUUAAAGAUAGAUAAUAAAAAGCCUGACUGUGUUCUCUCUCUCUCAAGAUAUUUGAAGAUAGAGGUGCCUUAUUUUAAAAUGUAUGAUUUUAAGGGACCUAGUCCCUAAGAAACUCAUAUCAAAGAAAGCUUCACCAGAAUGAUUAAUAUGUAAAUCAUUGUCUUUUCUAUGUUCGGCUAUGACAAGGUAACAAGUAUCCAUGAUAAAGUAGGUAUAUGUUAAUCUAACUCAGUAUCAUACCUUUGUAGAUAUACACCUAAGGGAAAAACUAUGGAAGGAAAUAAUUAAAGAAAGCACAAGUUGAGAUCUCAUACAAAAAGAAGAAGGACCUGGUCCCAUUUCUCAGGUGAGUACCAAAAUGAUAUGCCUUUAAUGUUUAUAAAAUUUUUACAUGAAAAUGCCACUUGUUUAAUUCCAUAUGAACAAAAUCUGACAAAUUCAUUCAAAAGUAAAGAGUCACAAUGGUUGUCAAUAGAUGCGUCUAUUCAAAAAGUGUGUGUAUUAAAUGUCAAAUGGUCAUCCUUUUAUAAAUCCAAAUUUUAUCAAUUCAUUAUGUUCACAGUUAACUCAGAACUCUAUUGAAGCUUAUCCUUCUUGUCACAUUCUUAAUUUUUCUUCUAUCAACCUAAAAAUGUCUGAAAUUCCCUCGUUUUUAAAAAUUAUUCUCAAAAUUACAAAAAGCUUAUCGUGUCAGCCCUUCUCAUGAGACUCAUGAAACCUUAGUGAAAAUUCCUCUAGUUGAAACUUUAUAUCCCAGGGAACAUUCUGUCCAUAUGGAUGAUUGAAAUAAAUAUUCUGGCUCUCUAAUUAAACAAGAGAUUAUUCUAAUUCAAGGAUCUCCAUCCUCAAAAAAUCAAGAAUCCUCUAGUGCCCCUCAAAUUCUAGCCUCUGAGAAAUUAAAAGGAAUAGAAACUUUAGAUAAGUUACAAAAACAUGAUUCUCCUACUCUUUCAGAGUCAAAUUUUGUAUUUACUAAAAUAGUAGAGAAUGAGAUUUCUAUGAUGAAAUUUGACUCUUUAGUAGCAUGAAUCUAGAAGCUAAAAAUUUUCUUUUACUUGGAAAUGACCCUAAGGAAGGUAUUGCUAGUGGGGAUAGGAAAAUAACAGGAGGAAAAGAUGAUCUGAGAAAGGAGAGAGUUUUUAUUGCCUUCAAAUAAAGAAAAUAAAGAGGAUGAGGAUGAACAACCUCUAAUCAUCAAAAUGAAGAAACUGAAGGAAAGUAAACGAAAGGAGAAAACAACUGACACUGGUACUCAAACUAAACGAUCUUACACCACUAGAGGGUUUAAGAUGAAACUACUAGUAGAUGCAAUGAAUAAGAAUAAGUACUCUACUGCUAUAAUAAGAAGACUUGGGAAAUCUACUGUUACGGCAAAAGAAAAAUAAAACACCUAAGUUUGAUCCUUAGAAAUUUCCUGAGUUUUAAACUCUCUAGACAUCAUACAACUUAGGCUUAGUAGUCGUAUGAUAUGGGUAUGACCUAGCGGGCCCAAGUCAUAUACUAAGAAGUAUGUUCUUGAUCAUGUACUAUCCUAGGUACGAGAAGAACCCAUAUGAGUCGUAUGGAGAUGGUACGAGUGGUAUAGUCUAAUUUGUAUGUUGUCCAGUGUCCAACCCCUUGGAUUCUAUCUUGGAUAUAGUUUGGGGGUACUAGUCAUAUGGUAUGGGUAUGAUUUGGCAAGGGGAGUUUAUGGUGGCUAGUGUGUGAUCUCCAAUAUUUUAUCUAGGGUACGAGUGCUAGGUAUCACUCAUAUGUUAUGUGUAUGAGUUAAAAGGGGAGUUGUACCGUCAAUGCUAUGAUUUUUGCAGUUUAAGUUGGGGUAUUCUGGACAUUUCCCCUCUUAACCUCUAUUGACCCCACGACUUAAAACACUUUUGAGAGUAUUAUGAAUAUUUCCCCUCUUAACCUCUUUUGACCCCACGAAUUAAAACACUUUUGAAACUUUAUUUACCCUAUUAUUCUCAAUCAAAAACACUUUAAACACUCUCAAAUCUCUCUCAAGAUCUUGGGUUAAGAAGAGGCUAGAGAAAGCUCGUGGAUCAAACACUGUAAUUUCUCUAAAAAAAACUCAAGCAUUCAAAUCAGGUUCAUCAAGAUUCAAGAUCAAGACCGCAAUAUUCAAGAACAAGAUCAAAAACCCUCGAAUUCAAGCACAAGUCAAGAACAAAUUCCUCAAAUCAACAAAUCAAGUUCAAAUUCAAGAUCAAGCUUCUUAUAUUUGAAAAGGCGAAUCAGAGGAUUCAUAGAGAUUGUAACACUCGCAUUGAAAUCAAUAAAAUUGAUUAUUGCAAUAUUUUCUUACCUCGAAUUAUUUAUUAUUUAGCCUCAAGAAUUUUAUUAUCCAACAAAUUCUGGCACUCCUAGUGGGACAAUCUCUACCUCUCAUCUCAACUUUUCUAACUGCAAAGUCCAAUAACACUGAAAUGACUUCUAAGAAGGUCAACUCCCAAUCAAAUUCUUCCAAGGAUGUUGACUCAAAGUUCUCUACUGAAGUAAAAAGUAUCCUUGGUGUUACUUUUGGGAGCUUAGGAGUUAUUACAAGGAGAAAGGAAGGCUUACUAGGACAACAAACAUAUCAGUGUCAUCUGCACCAACUUCAGCUGUUAGAUCUUCAACCCCAAGAGGAACGAAGUCUAAUACAAAUGCUUUGGAAGGAGGAAGCAAUGUCGCGGAAUCACUUAAGAAGACUCUAGCUCUACUUGAUCAUUUCGGUUCCAAAUACUCUGGCGCGAAGAGGGAUAGUUGUUCAAGCAACUCAUCAUCUCUGACUACACCACUUAAGUUGAGCACUUCAAAGAUCAACUUAUGCGAUAAUCCAUGCUACUCUCCAAUAUCUCCAGUGAUUAUGCAAGUAAUCACAACUGAUGCCUCGUAUAUGGAGGAGCAGCUUGUGAAUCUAGCAAAGGCAAUUGAUGGCCUAACCAAAUAUGUUCAGAAUCAAGAUGCUCGAAUUGAUAAGAUAGUGGAUAGGGUGAAAGGUAUAAUAGAUGAAGAGUCUAGUCAUGUGUUUGGAAAAUCUCCAGAGGUUUAUGAGACAGAAAAUCCUGUGAAACAAACACCACCGAUUAAAGAGGUGCAAGUUUCUUUUGAGGGAAUGAUCCCGAUUGGGCAAUUAAGGGAAUUUAUUGAAGGGACCCUCAAAGACAAGUAUGAUUUUGUUGCUAAGUCUUCCCUUGCUUAUGCCAAUCCUUACACGGCAAGGAUCGAUAGCCUCAAAAUAUCUGCUGGCUAUCAACCCCCCAAAUUUCAACAAUUUGAGGGCAAAGGGAACCCAAAAAAGCAUGUUGCACACUUUGUUGAGACAUGUAACAAUGCUGGAACUUAUGGUGACUAUCUUAUCAAAUAGUUUGUUUGUUACCUACAGGGAAACAUCUUUGAUUGGUAUAUGUACCUUGAGCCUAAUUCCAUCGAUAGCUGUGAGCAAUUGGAGCACAAGUUUCUAAAUCACUUUUAUAGCACAACGCAUAUAGUGAGCAUGGUAGAGCUCACAAAUACUUGGAAAAGAAUGAAUGAACCAGUUAUUGACUUCAUCAAUCGAUGGAGAAAUGCUAGCCUAAACUGUAAAGAUAGGCUCAGUGAAGCUUCUGCAAUAGAGAUGUGCAUCUAGGGAAUGCACUGGGAACUUCUCUACAUCUUUCAAAGCAUUAAGCCUAAAUCCUUUGAAAAUCUAGCUACCCGUGCUCACGAUAUAGAGUUGAGCAUGUAUUCUACUGGAAAGGCAACAACACCUAUCCAGGACCUUCAAAGGGGAAAGGAUAAGCAAGAACCCAAAAUAUGGGGCAAGUUUGUCCCCAAAAAUGACAACAAGGAGUCUAUGAAUGUUGAUGUGUCUCCUGUAAAAGUCACAACAAAGAUAAGCAAGAAGAAAAGUGUGAAGAUGACUUCUGAAGCACGUUCGAAUCUGAAAACUUUAAAGGAAAUACAAGAAAAGGAAUAUCCUUUCCUUGAUUCUAAUGUUGCUGAGAUUUUUUAUGAACUCCUUCAGUAUAAGCUCAUUGAACUCCCAGAGAUAAAGCGUCCCAAUAAAGCUGGGCAGACCAAUGACCCUAAUUAUUACAAAUAUCAUAGGCUCAUAAGUCACCCUCUAGAAAAGUUCUUUGUCUUUAAAGAUAAAGUCAUGCAACUGGCAAGAGAGAAGAAGAUCUUCUUCGAUGAUGAGACGACCAGUUCUCAUCAAAUCUCUAUCAUAUUUAGCUCGCUCAAUCCAGUCCAAAUAUGUAUCGAAUAGUAUAAUGAGAAAAUAUUAGAGCCUGACAGUUCUUCAGUUAAUGAAGGUGAUGAUAAAGGUUAGACUCUGGUGACCAGGCCCAGAUGCCGGAGGACAAUUCUAUGAAAGGAGUCGGCCAAGCAGCCAACCAGAAAGAGAAUGGUAAAGAAACCAAGGAAAUAGAAGCUGGUUGAACUUCUAAAAAGGACGACCGCCAUAGAGCUUAACCCCCAAAAACUUUGUUGUCCAUUGACUUCAGAGGAAUUCUUACCGAGUAAGUUUCGUGUAAAGACUGCCCAAGUCAACCUUGAGGCAUCUUGUUUUAAUACCACCAAAGAGGGGGAAAGGGUGAGAAUUUACCCAUGGAGGUUCCUUCACCUUCCGAAAAGCUUGUUAAAACUCUUAGCGAAGAGGCACAUAUGUGUGAUACAAAAAUUACAUUCAUAAAUAACGAUCUUCUGCUUGGUGAGGCCCUACAUAAUCAUCCCUUAUACAUGGUGGGUCAAAUUCUAGGAAAGAAGAUCAAUAGAAUUUUGAUAGAUAAGGGAUCUGAAGUUAACAUCCUACCUAUCCGCACGAUAAAAGAACUUGGCAUUGCUAAUAGUGAACUGGACGAAAGCCAUAUAACGAUCCAAGGCUUCAACCAAGGGGGGCAGAAGGCCAUGGAAUGUAUUAAGUUGGGGAUUCAUAUGGAUGAUUUUUAAUCAAACCCAUUGAUGCAUGUGAUUGAUGCCAAAACUUCAUAUAAUAUAUUGCUUGGUAGGCCUUGGGUGCAUGGGAAUAAAAUUAUCUCAUCCUUUUACCAUUAAUGCUUGAAGUACCUUGAAGGCAGAGUGGAAAUAAAGAUAGUUGUCGAUGAUAAGCCAUUCACUAAAGCUGAGGCAUAUUUUGUCGAUGCAAAAUCUACUUAAGAAUCAUAUUGUGGAUGAGAAAAGGGUUGAAUAUGUCACUAAGAACAAGUGUGAUGAUCUUCCAUCUAAGAAGAUCGUGGUGACUAUUGAAAAAGUCGCCACUAAGAAGCCUCUCUCCACUUUAAAUAAAGAAAGUAUCACUUCUACGAAAAAGAAGGCAACUCCCGUUCUUUGCUACAUACCGAAGGUAAGGAAAGAGAAAGAUCACCCAUCGGAUUCCUAAGAUAAUGUGCUAAAGGGGCUAACUUUACCUAUCAGGAAGAUUGAUGCAAUAAACCCAUCCUCAAGACUUUUUGAAGAGUCUGUGGCUCAAAAUUUGCCUCAAGAUAUGACACUCCUUGUGAAGUGUACGAAAGAAGGCUUUAACCCAAAUACAUAUUAGCCAUCAAGGUUAGGCAAAAUUCCGUCAGAGGGUACAACUAGGCAGGCAUGUGAAGGCCUAGGAUACAUGCAGCCACCUUCAAUUCGCAUCUCCAUAAGAAGGGCAGUCAAUAGUUACAUCACCGUGGAAAAAGAAUCCACUGCUGCUAACAAAUUAGAGGGUCAACUACAAGAACUUCUGUGUUUGAAAGGUUGGAACCUCUAAAUAAGAAGAAAAGCAACAAGUGUAAGAGGAGUCGUCAAAGCACGAUGAUGCACUCUUCACUUAAAAUACAAAAGGAUUUCCCAAGUUUGAUUCUUUCUAAAGUGAAAUGACAGACAAAACUAGUUAUUUCAUACAAUGAGGUGCUAAAAAAAAAGAUGCAUACUGUGGUUUAUACCAAGCAAUGCAAAGAAUAUAAAGAUAGUGUUGGCUCCUCAUAUCAUGUUACAUUCCGGAAUGAGAAAGAUGCCUCAUCUCAAAUAAAGGUUGAUAAAGAGAUAGAAGAUGCCUUUUGGUUUUAUCAUAUAUCCAUCAACGAUGAUGAUCCUCAAGAUGAGGAAGAUGCUAGAGAUGCUCCAUCGUAACUUGAAGAAAAAGUAAAGGCCAUAAUAGAUCCCUUGAAGGAAGUUAAUCUUGGAACCAAUGAUGACCCAAGACCAACUUACCUGAGUGCGUUUCUAGAAGUAGAAGAAGAAAUUGCUUAUAUGGACAUACUCAAAUAAUAUAUGGAUGUCUUCACCUGGAGCUAUAAGCAAAUUCCUGGCUUGGAUCCAAAAGUAGCAGUCCAUCAGUUGGCGGUCAAGAAUGGUGAUCAUCCUGUUAAGCAAGCCCAAAGAUGCUUUAGGCCAAAGUUGGUUCCUCUAAUUGAAAAUAAAGUUAACAACCUCAUUGAAGCAGGCUUUAUUCAUGAAGUCAAAUAUCCUACAUUGAUUUUAAGUAUUGUUCCAGUACGGAAGAAGAAUAGCCAAAUUCGAUUUUGUGUCGACUUUUAGGAUCUCAACAAUGCCUACCUUAAGGAUGACUUUCCAAUUCCCACACUAGAGUUGAUGAUUGAUGCCACCACUGGUUACGCCAGCGCCUGAAAGGCUGCUUGAAAUUCUGCAUGAGAUAUAUUUUCAUUCAAUGGGUCAGUGGGUUAGGGUUACUGACAUCAUUAUUUCUUCUCGCUUGACGUGGAGGUAUAUUUUUGAAAGAGGAGAGCACGAAUCAAUAGUAGAGAGAGACACUUUAAGCAUGAUAGACUUCUGAAAGAAAGAAUCACACUUUUUCCUAAAACGUCUUGCAUGCUCUUGCUCAUAGAUGUGGUGUGCUACACACCAAUGAUCAAGACUCUACUUAACGCGGCUUAUUAGACUCCCUAGGACACCUUAAAACCUUAGGCUUUGAUACCAAGGUAGUAACGCCCCAGAAAAUGAGUCCUAGAGCAUCACACAGUGCUUAAGGCUACGAGUAGCCCCAAGCUAACCCUUUGAGCCAUUUUCAUUCAGUUCAACACAAAUCAAUGGGGUUUCCAUAAAUAACCCUCAAAUAUCAAUAGAGUAAUCAUCGUCAAAGAAUAAAAGAAUUUCAAAAAGAUAACAAAAUAUGACUUAUUAGUCAACUCCCAACAUCUAUACUAGUCUGACAAGCCUCUAAGAAAAUCAAUUAAACCAGCGAGCCAUUGAGACAUGCCCCAACUGACUCAUACUUAGUUAUUAAAUGUAAAUGAUUCUAUGAAAUCAACAUUAGACAUCACGUCCUCAGAAUAUGAGGACUCACCACAACAGAGGAUAUAGAACAGUGUGACCAAAGAAUCACUAUCGAACCUAGAACUGAGCACCUGAACCUACAUUCUGAGAUAAUGCAGCCCAUAUCUGAAGAUGUGGGUUAGUACCAUGGAAAGGAACCGAGUAUAUGGGGGUGUAUGCAGUUGUAUAAACAUCAUCAUCAUAAAUAUUUAUAAGAAAUAUGCAGGAUGUAUGAAAGACUCAUAUAGCCUGAAGAAAAUCAUCAUAAUNNNNNNNNNNNNNNNNNNNNNNNNNNNNNNNNNNNNNNNNNNNNNNNNNNNNNNNNNNNNNNNNNNNNNNNNNNNNNNNNNNNNNNNNNNNNNNNNNNNNNNNNNNNNNNNNNNNNNNNNNNNNNNNNNNNNNNNNNNNNNNNNNNNNNNNNNNNNNNNNNNNNNNNNNNNNNNNNNNNNNNNNNNNNNNNNNNNNNNNNNNNNNNNNNNNNNNNNNNNNNNNNNNNNNNNNNNNNNNNNNNNNNNNNNNNNNNNNNNNNNNNNNNNNNNNNNNNNNNNNNNNNNNNNNNNNNNNNNNNNNNNNNNNNNNNNNNNNNNNNNNNNNNNNNNNNNNNNNNNNNNNNNNNNNNNNNNNNNNNNNNNNNNNNNNNNNNNNNNNNNNNNNNNNNNNNNNNNNNNNNNNNNNNNNNNNNNNNNNNNNNNNNNNNNNNNNNNNNNNNNNNNNNNNNNNNNNNNNNNNNNNNNNNNNNNNNNNNNNNNNNNNNNNNNNNNNNNNNNNNNNNNNGGGAGCCAUCAUGCUUUCCAUCUAUCAAAAUCAACCACGUUGUGGAUUUCUUUCACACUCGAGUUCAAAACAACUUCAUUAAGACCAAAAGAUCAAAUCAUUCAAAAUAUCUCAAAUAUUUAACAUCAACGUGCUUAUAACACACACUUACUCAAAAAAACAUAAUUUCCAAUGGGGAUUCACAACCCAAAUAUCAAAAUCAUGAUAAAUAUUAUUCAAAAUUUAUGCUUUAUAUCUACACACAAGUAAAUUCAUCUUUCAAAAUCAUAAAUAUCAAUAUUUCAUAAUAAUCAUCAUAAUAUAUGGGUUCAUGCUUCAAAUUCAUAAAAAUCAAAUAAAAAUCAUGCCUNNNNNNNNNNNNNNNNNNNNNNNNNNNNNNNNNNNNNNNNNNNNNNNNNNNNNNNNNNNNNNNNNNNNNNNNNNNNNNNNNNNNNNNNNNNNNNNNNNNNNNAUACUCAUUUUUGAGAUGUUAAUCAUGCCUUUGAAUGAUGGUUCUUGGAGUUCUUAAACUAGGAACUUGGAAUCUUGAAUAAAUUUGCAGAAUUAAUGGUGAACUUUGGAGGUUCUUGAAGUUGAAUGUAGGAGAUUAGGAUUUUCUUUUUGAGGGAAUUUGAUGAAAUAUAACAUACAAUGCUUCUAAUAGGCUUUAAUAUAGGGUUUGGAUGGAUUUUGGGUGGAAAGAAUGACCAAAACGCCCCUAAAAAUCAAACAAUUCUCGAAUCUGUCCUUUGGUGGACUGUUUUCAUAGUUUGAAGUAGAUCAACCAUAAAGUUUUACUCCGAUAUCAAAAUUGGAUGAAACCAAUUUCAUUAGAAAGAGGACUCUUAUAUAUUUACAUUGAUAUAUAGUAUCUCACCCAGAUCAUUAUGUACGAGGAUUUAUGAUCGUUUGAAGUUGACCCAAAAAUUUACUUUUGUUAGGCUGAAGUAGAUUACCCAUAACUUUUUGCCCCGAUAGAAAAAUUGGAUAAAUCUAAUUUCAUUGGAAAGAGGACUCAGAGAGCUUUCCGUUGAUAUAUAGUAGAUCACUCAGAUAAUUAUGUACAAGGAGUUAUGAUCAUUUAAAGUUGGAGCAAAAAUACGCCAGUCCUCAAUACUUUUUCCUGUACGUUUUACUGUUCACUACUAUUCACGGUUCGAUCGGAAUAUUCAUAAAUCGUCGCUCGAGUGUCCGUUUUUGAUGAUCCAUAUAUCGUUGGAAAUUUUAUUCUAUACUCUACGCAAUGGUGGGUCAUAAUCUAAGACAUUCCGCAUGAAAAAUUUAUAAUUCAUUCUAGAAGAUAGAACCCAACACAUUUACGCACAAAAUUUUAACAAAAAAAUUUUCGGGGUAUUACAUAUACAUUCCCCAAAAUGAUGUAAAGGGACAAGAACUGGAUGACUUCUUGGCAUACCACGUGAUACCUAAUGAUUUGGAACUAAGAAAUGAACUUCCUGAUGAAUAUGCAAUCGUCAUUGAAGCUAGACCCCUAUGGAAGAUAUACUUUGAUGGUGCCGCACUUCGAGAUGGAGCUGGUGCUGGUGUGGUGUUCAUCACUCCACAAGAAAAGGUCAUCCCAUACUCUUUUACCCAAAUAAAUCAUUGCUCUAAUAAUGUUGCUGAAUAUCAAGCUUUAAUACUUGGACUUGAGAUAGCAGUUGACAUAAAACAACUGCAAUUACAAGUCUUUGGUGACUCCUAAUUGGGGAACACGCAGCUUUUGGAAAGCUAUGAAGUUAGAAAGCCUGAGCUACAACCAUAUCAUGAUUAUGCACAGAAGUUGAUGGGGUGUCUUGGAUGAGUAACCCUCCAACAUAUGCCAAGAAGAGAAAAUAAGCAAGCUGAUGCCCUAGCUACUUUGGCCUCAACCAUGACUCUUCCAAAUCAGACCCAAGUUAUUCCUCAUCAAUAAUGGGUAGUACCAUCGUCAUAUGAAGAUGUAAAAAACAAGGUUGAAUACCUCAUUUCCAUGUCUAAAGCUGUAAAAAAAGAUUGGCAAUAACCUAUCAUUGAUUACUUAUAUUAUGAAAUAUUUCCAGAAGAUCCAGGAGAAAGACUAACAUUCAUCAUCGUGCACCUCGCUUCCUUUUCUAUAGAGACACAUUGUACAAAAGAUCAUUUGAAGGAGUACUCUUAUGGUAUUUGGGAGAGAAAGAAGUAAUUUAAGCUUUGCAAGAAGCACACCUGGGAGUUUAUGGAUCACAUCAGUCUGGACCAAAGCUAUGUUUUCACAUUAAAAGGAUAGGAUAUUAUUGGCCAACGAUGGUGAAAGAUUGCUUUGACUAUGUUAUAAGAUGCAAAGCUUGCCAAUUCCAUGCAAAUUUCAUACAUCAACCCCAAGAAGUACUACAUCCAACUAUAGUAUCUUAACUAUUCAAUGCUUUGGGAAUGGAUGUUAUUGGUCCACUACCAAAGUCUUCUGGUGGACACUUAUGCAUCUUGGCUGCAACAGAUUACUUCUCGAAGUCGAUCGAAGUUGUUGCUCUUAAGGAAGUAAAGAAAUAAAAUGUUGCGAACUUCAUCCGAGUAAAUAUCAUCUACCACUUUGGAAUCCCUCAAUAUAUAAUAACUAACAAUGGAAAGUCAUUUGAUAACAAACUAAUGAAUAAGAUUUGUGUUCUCUUUGGUUUCAAGCAACACAAGUUUUCUACGUACCAUGCUGCCGCCAAUGGUCUAGCCGAAGCAUUCAAUAAGACUUUAUGCAACUUGUUGAAGAAAUUCGUCUCUAAAUCCAAAUGAGACUAGCAUGAGUAGAUGGAAGAAGAUUUUUGGGUUUAUAGGACAACUUACCAUAUAUCGAUGCAAGCAACCUCAUACUCACUUUCUUUUAGAGUUGAAGCAAUUCUAUCACUUGAGCAUCAAAUUCCUUCUUUGAGACUGUCCAUUCAAGAAGGGCUCACUGAUGGAUAAAAUGCUAAGUUGUGUCUUGUGGAGUUAGAAUCUCUUGAUGAGAAGAGGAUGGAGGCUCAAAAAAAUCUUAAAUGUUAUUAAGCCCGGCUAUCUUAUUCUUUCAAUAAAUAGGUUUGCUUAAGGUGCUUCCAAGUUGGAGAUUAAGUCCUUGUAGUAAGAAGGUCCAUUAUCACUUCUCAUAAGUCUAGGGGAAAAUUCACCCCAAAGUGGGAUGGACCAUAAGUCGUACAAGAGGCCUAUUCAAAUGGUGCUGACAAGCUUGGCGAUAAAGAUGGCAUGAGCAUUGGCGCCAUCAACGCCAAAUUCUUAAAGAAAUACUAUCCUUGAAGGAAGAUGAUACUCCUUAAGGCACGAGUAUAAAAUGCAUGUGCACUCCUUAAGGCACGAGUAUAAACUGCAUGUCUACUCCUAGCCUGAAAGAGUAUAAUUGUGAGCGGCUAGAAAAAAAAUCAAAUAAAUGUCUGCUAGGUUGAAAACCUUGAAAGAGGUGGCCUAAUCAAAACUUAGGAUACAAAAAAAACACUCACCCAGAACUACGUUGUGACUUGAUCCUCUUCAUUGAUGUACGCGGGCGCUUGGAAUCUCAUUCCAAGUUCAGUUACAUGAGUGUCAAAAAAAAAAUAUUCCUACAGUGUCUGUCAUAUGAAUGCCAAGUAUGAAACUAUUCUAAUCAAAUUAUAGACUUACUCUAAAUAUUUGUGACUCAAUGGGGGCAACCCGUCGAAAAGAAAAAUAGUUCCUUCAAUGAAAUUUGGAAUGUUAAAGUUCUCCAAGCCUAUAACUAAAAGGAUACUAAAAUUUUCAUGCCUUAAGGUGGACAAAAGUUGUCCCUUUGAACCUUAAGUUGUCCUCUAACGGGUUUAUCCUUAAAAAGAUAUCGAUAUUUUCAUGCCUUAAGGUGGACAAAAUUUGUCCCUUUGCACCUUAAGUUGGCCUCUCACGGGUUUAUCCUUAAAGGAUCUUGAAAGUUCCAUUCCUUAAGGUGGACAAAAUUUGUCCCUUUCCACCUUAAGCUGGACACUAACGGUUUUAUCAUUAAAAGGAUCUCAAAAUUUCCUUGCCUUAAGGUAGACAAAAUUUAUUCCUUUGCACCUUAAGCUGGCCUCUAACACGUUUAUCAUUAAAGGAUAUCAAAAUUUUCAUGCCUUAAGGUGGACAAAAUUUGUCCUUUUCCACCUUGAGCUGGCCUCUAACAGUUUAUCCUUAAAAGGAUCUCAAAAUUUCCAUGCCUUAAGGUGGACAAAAUUUGUCCCUUUGCACCUUAAGCUGGCCUCUCGCAGAUUUAUCCUUAAAACAAUAUCGACAUUUUCAUAACUUAACAUGGACAAGAUUUGUCCCUUUUCAACUUAAGCUGAACAUUGAAAAGGGCCCAUACUUAAAGAAAAUCACUGCACCAUCUUCAAGUAAAAUUGGUCGGACUUAAGGUGACGGAGGCGAAGUUAAACUCUCGCACCUUACCAUCUUCAAGUAAAAUUUUUCGGACUUAAGGUGAUGGAGGCAAAGUUAAACUCUUGCACCUUAAGCCGAUGUCCACCGUCUUCAAGUAAAAUUGGUCGGACUUAAGGUGACGAAGGAAAAGUUAAUCUCUUGCACCUUAAGCCGAUGUCCACCAUCUUCAAGUAAAAUUGGUUGGACAUAAAGUGAUGAAGGCAAAGUUAAAUUCUUGCAACUUAAGACAAUGUCCACCAUCUUCAAGUAAAAUUGGUCGGACUUAAGGUGGCGGAGGCAAAGUUAAACUCUCGUAGUUAUGGUUGGGUAUUGUGGGUGGUCUUUUGUCCCAAUUGGACUUGGGGUACCUAAAAUAACUAGACCCUGGUUUAGUUCUUGUCAGAUUGGUAUCAUAGCCCUAGGUUCAUAGUCAAUUAAGAGUCCAUAAAGCUGUGUUGAGUAAAGUCUAUUUUAGGGGUGUGUAGCGCACCAUACUCAAAAGGUAUAGGCUACAAGACAUUUAGGAAUAUUUCUCCUUCCUGUGUUCUAUUUUAAAGCUAUGGAGUCUAAGUCCUAAAUACUUUUGUAAUUCCAUUUUAUUCUUUUUUCAAAUCAUGCCUUGAUAAUCUGAAGUUCACAAAAACUUCUCUGUCUAAAUUAGGGACAAUAUUGAUAGGACACGCAUUCCUCAUGGGAUCCAUACUUGGUCUAGGGGUCUAAUUUUAGAUUGUUCUGGAUUUCCACUAACUCCCUCUAGUCCAUCUCAUACUCCUAAGGUUGAAGUGAUGAACACCAAUUUUUAUCAAUCUAUUCACAUGUUGGCAUUGUUUGUAGCUACUUAUUCUAAGAGUGGUUUCCUGUUACUUUAUUUUUUACGGCCACAAAGGUUGGCCAGUUCAUGAGGUUGAACCUUUCUAUCUUUACGGGUGUUAAAGUGGAGGAGGAUCCUCAAGGUUCCCUAGAUGAAGUGGAAAAUAUUUUCCAAGUUAUGCAUGCCAUGAAUAUGUAGGAUGUAAAGAUUUCCAUCUUCUAGCCAAAAGUUAUGGCGUUCUAAUGGUACAAGGAAUGGGAACAAUCAAGGGGUGAUGGUGCUGAGUCAUCUCUGUGGGAGGAUUUUCUAAUGUUUCUUAGACCGCUUCUUUCCUCAGGAGUUGAGAGAAGCAAAAAUAAAAGUUUUUUUUAAUCUGAAGUAGGGUAAGAUGUCAGUCAAGAAGUAUGCCUUAAAGUUUCACCAGUUAACGUGAUAUGCUCUAAAGUUGGUUUCUAGUAUGAGGGCCCGAAUGAGAAAGUUUUCUCCGGUAUUGUCUCGUGAGUUAAUCCUUAAAAGUAAGGCUUCCUUAUUAUCAACCCCUUGGAUAUUUCCAGGUUCAUUAUGUAUAUACAGCAGAUAGAGUAAUAGAAAAAGAAGCAUGUUGAGUUAGGAGAGAGGCAGGGAAAGGAGUUUAGAUUUUCUGAGAAGGGUGGAUGUCAACAGUAGAGUAGCAGGAUGGUGGUAAAUGUCUCAAGAAGAAGUGAGGAAAUUUUAGGUCUUAAUCGAUGGCUUUUUCUCCCUACCCAAAGCGUUAGGUGAUAGGUGUUUCCAUGGUCGCAAUAAAUUUAGGGCACAAGAUUCCUAUCGCAGGCUAGUGGGGCCCAGUCAACUAUAUCAUAUCCUUCUUAUAGGUUUUGUGGUAGAUUAAAUCGAAGUUUUUGUAAUGAGGGAAGGGACAAGUGCUUUAACUAUGGUCAACCAGGACAUAUUCUAAGAAAUUGUCUUAUUCGUAAGGUUGCUUCGGGGGCGAUCAAGGUUCAAGUUACUUCAUUAUCAGUUCCACACCAACGAGUGCACUAUCUAGUUGUGGGACUGUUUGGAACUAGCUCGAUACUCUUACUACCCGAUAGGAGUCUGAGGCAUGCCUGAUGUUCUAACUUCUAUAUUGAAACUCUUUUCUCAUGAUGUGUACUGUUUACUUGAUCUGGGGUCCACUCUAUCUUAUUUGACCCUAUUUGUGGCUGUGUAUUUUGGUUUUAGUUCGGAGUGUGUUUCAAACCCUAUUUUUGUUUCUACCCUAUUAGGUGACUCUGCGAUUGCUAAAAGAGUCUAUAGGGUGGUGUAGUAUCUAUUGGUGGUAAAGAAACUUUGGUGGAUCAUUUAAGUUAGAUUUGGUGGAUUUUGAUGUCAUAUUAGGGAUGGAUUGGUUGCACUCGUUCUAUAAAUCUUGAGACUGUCAGACCUAUAAGGUUGUCUUUAAUUUCCCUAAUGAGCCAAUUAUUGAGGGGGAAGGUGGUUCCCUAGCUCCUAAGGGGAAGUUCAUAUAAUAUCAUCAAGCUCAGAGAUUAAUCUCCAAAGGGUAUCUUUAUCAUCUAGUCCCGAUUAAAGAUUUUGACUCGGAGGGUCCUUCUUUGAAAUUUGUCUCGGUGGUAAAUGAAUUUCCUGAGGCCUUCCCAGAUGAUCUUCCUGGUGUUCCUCCAAAUAGGGAGAUUGAGUUUUGAAUUGAUCUUAUUUCAGACACUCAUCAAAUUUCUAUUCCUCCAUAUAGAAUGGCUUCGACUGUGUUGAAAGAGCUUAAGAAGCACCUAAAGGAUAUUUUAGAUAAGGGUUUCAUCAAUCCUAGUGUAUCCCCGUGGGGUGCACCAGUGUUAUUCAUGCAUAAGAAGGAUGGUUCCCUUCGAAUAUGUAUUGAUUACUGGCAGUUGAAUAAGGUAAUGGUAAAGAAUAAGUAUCUCUUUCCAAGGAUUGAUAAUUUGUUUGAUCAGUUGCAGAGUGCCAUGUUUUUCUCCAAAACUGACAUUCGAUACGAGUAUCAUCAGUUAAAGAUUAGGAAGGACGGUAUCCCUAAGACUACUUUCCAUACUCGGUAUGAGCAUUAUGGGUUUUUGGUUAUGUCUUUUGGGUUGACUAAUAUCUUGACGACGUUUAUUGAUUUGAUAAAUAGGGUCUUCCAUUAGUUUCUGGAUUUGUCUGUCAUUGUCUUUAUAAAUGACAUUCUGGUCUACUCUAAGAGUGAGAUGGAUCGUGUUGAUCACUUUUGUGUUGUUUUGUAGACCUUAAAGGAGAAGUAGUUGUAUGCCAAAUUUUUAGAAUGUGAAUUUUGGCUAAACACUAUCACUUUUUGGGUUAUGUCAUUUCUAGUAAAGGGAUAAUGGUUGAUCUGUAGAAGGUCGAAGUGGUUAAGAAGUGGCCUAGACCCACAACUUCAAUCGAUAUUUGGUUCUUCUUGGGUUUAGCUGGCUACUAUAAGAGGUUUAUAGAGAUUUUUCUUCUAUAGUUGUCCUGUUAACUAAGUUGAUUAAGAAGAAGGUAACUUUCUUGUAGUCUGAUGCUUGUGAGGGUAGUUUUGAGAAGCUGAAAGAUAAGCUAACUUGGGCUCUAAUUUUGACUUUGCCUGAAGGCACUGAUGGGUUUGUGGUCUACUGCAAUGCAUCCCAUGUAAGGUUGGGUGUGUUUUGAUGCAUUAUGGUAAGGUGAUAGCUUAUACCUCUAGGCAGUUGAAGGUGCAUGAGAGGAAUUAUCAGACUCAUUAUUUGGAAUUGUUAUCUGCGGUGUUCACAUUAAAAAUCUAAUGUCACUAUUUGUAUGGGGUGCAUAUAGAUAUCUCUUCUGAUCAUAAGAGCCUAUAAUAUAUAUUUACUCAGAAAAAGCUUAACCUCAGGCAAAGAAGAUGGCUUGAGCUGCUUAAGGAUUAUGACAUGAGUCUUUACUACUAUCCAAGUAAAGCUAAUGUGGUUGCUGAUAUUCUUAGUAGGUUAUCCAUAGGGAUUAUAGCUCACGUGGAUAAGGAGAAGGGGGGUCGGUAAAGGACAUUCACUGUUUGGCUAAUCUUGGAGUUUGUCUCUUAGACUCUAAGAAUGGUGGUGUGUUCAUUCAGAAAAUAUUACAGUGUCUCUUGGUGUGAAAUUAAGGAGAAGCAAGUGUUAGAUCAUGUAUUAAUGAGGAUUAAGGAUGAUGUUGAAAGGAAAUAGGUGAAGGCCUUCGAGAUUAGUGGUGAAGGUACCUUUCAAUACCAAGGGAGGUUAGUGGUGGAAGAUUAUGCGAGGUUGUAUCUUUAUGAGAUUGUGAAGCUACAUGGGGUACCAAUUUCUAUCAUCUCAUAUCGUAGUAUGUAGUUUACAUCUCAUUUUUGGUAGUUGUUUUAGAAAGGUUUGGGGACCAAGGUUAGUCUGAGUAUAACUUUCCACCCGCAGUCAGAUCGGCAAGCAAAAAGGACUAUUCAGACAUUGAAGGACAUGCUUCAUGCUUGUGUGAUUAACUAUGGUGGUAGUUGGGUUGAGCAUUUACCUCUUUUGGAGUUUUGUUAUAACAAUAUCUACCACUCUAGCAUUGGGAUAGCUCCGUUUGAGGCCUUAUAUGAUAAGAGGUGUAGAUCUCCUAUUGGGUCGUUUGGGGUCGGUAAGGUAGAGAUGUUUGGUCUGGAUUUAGUUCACCAAGUCAUAGAGAAGGUUAAGGUGAUUUGGGAUAGACUUAAGGUUGUCGAAAGUCUCCAAAAGUCUUAUACAAACAUAAGGUGAAGGGACUUGAAGUUUGAGGUUGGGGAUAGGGUGUUAUUAAAGGUAUGUCCUGUGAAGGGUGUGAUGUGUUUGGUAAGAAGGGGAAGCUCAAGCCCCGCUAUGUUAGUCCAUACUUGAUUUUGAUAAGGGUUGGCAAUAUUGCGUAUGAGGUGGAGUUUCCUUCUAGUUUGAGGUUCAUUCACCCAGUGCUCCAUGUUUUUAUGUUGAGGGUGCAUGUAGGUGAUCCGUCUCAAAUCAUGCCUAUCAAGGAUAUUGGUAUUUUGAAUUUUUUUCUUCUGAGGAGAUCCCAGUUGAGGUUUUUGAUCUGCAGAUUUGUCAGUUAUGGACUAAGGAUGUAGCUUCGGUAAAAGUUCUACGUAGGAACCACAUGGUUGAAGAAGCUACUUAAAAAGUGGAAGAGGACAUAAAGUCCAAGUAUCCGUUCCUAUUUUAUGCACCAGAAGUUCGUGUGGAAGGUAUGUGUUUUUCAUAACCUUGUUGUUCUCUAACUUAGUUAAAGAAAAGAUUAAUUUCUUUGUAUCUUUGGUUUUUAACUUAGUUAAAGGUUAGAGUUGAGGUUGUGAGGUUUGAAUCAUGCUAGUCAUGCCUUGUUCCAUCAUUGGAGGGUGAAUGAUCCAAGUGAGGGAGAAUUGAAACACCCUGAGUUUGAUCCUUAGAAAUUUCUUGAGUUUUGAACUCUCUGGACAUCAUACGACUUAGGCUUACUAGUCAUAUGAUGUGGGUAUGACCUAAGGAGCCUAAUUCAAAUGUUAAGAAGUGUGUUCUUGACCAUGUAGUAUCCUAGGUACGACUAGACUCUAUAUGAGUCAUAUGGAGAUAGUACAAGUGGUAUAGUUUGAUUUGUAUGUGGUCCAGUGUCCAACCCAUUAGAUUCUAUCUUGGAUACGGUUUGGGGGUACUAGUCGUAUGGUAUGGGUUCAAUUUGGGCAAGGGGAUUCAUAUGGUUGACAGUGUGUGAUGUCCAAUAAUUUAUUUAGGGUUCGAGUGGUACGUACCACUCGUAUGUUGUGUGUACGAGUUAAGGGGGAAGGGAUAUGUCGUACCUUCCUGCGAUGAUUCUUACAGUUUAAGUUGGGGGUGUUCUGGACAUUUCUCCUCUUAACCUCAUUUGACCCCACGACUUAAAAAACUUUUGUGGCUUCAUUUACCCUAUUAUCCUUAAUCAAAAACACUUUAAACACUCUCAAAUCUCUCUUAAGCUCUUGGGUUACAAAGAGGCUAGGGUUUCUUUCAAGGUGGUCAAUUAAGGCUCUCAAGGGUGGGUUCUCUUCGGCUUCUUUGUUGUCUAAGUCAUGUUACUCUUCUCUCAUUUUAAGUUCAACUAAAUUUAUGUUUUAAUGAAUGUUUAUCAUGGUUUAAUUGUCAAUAUUGUUUGGUUUUGAACUAUAUGUUAGGGGUUUUGGUUGUUAAUGGAUGAAUAUUGUUUUCCCAUGUUUUCUUAUGGUUUUUAUGUUAAAGUUGAGUAAUUGAAUAUGUAUUUUCAUGGGAAUGGCCAAUUGGUUCUUGGCUUUGGUUUUGGUCUUGGAAGCUAUAUGCCCUCAAUAUGUUUAUUAAGAUGUCUAUAAGAAUGGUCUUGUCACAUAGUUUGACUUUUAUUAAAACUAUUGCAUUACAUGAUAUAGUUAUGGAACCUAAAUUGGUUUAAAUGGUUUUAAAUUAUUUGGUAAGGCCUUGGAGGCCAUAGUUUUGGUAAAUUGAAUAUCAUGUGGGGUACAUAGGAAUCCCUUAAAUGUUGGCUAAUGACAUUGCUUGCAAGCUAUAGUAUAUAUGAAGAUACCAAUACAUAAUGCCUUGGUAAUUAACACAUGGAAAUGGCGGUUUGGUUGUGUGCUAAUGGUUUUAAUUGGUCAAUAAUGGAGGGUAAUGAUAGCUUACCAUGAAGGUGUGAGUCCGAUGGACGAACACUGGAAACUCAUGUUUAUCUUUAUGAGGGUUGGUCAAGGUGACCUUAUACUUGUAGGGUACACGGAAAUCCCCUAAGUUAUACUCGUAUAUAUGUAUCAUGUAGGGCGGUGGGUACAUGGGAAUCUCCGACCCUUGUGGUAUCUCUGGUUCGCUCGUCUACACGCACUGGCCCAUUUAAGGGGUAACACUAGACCUAUAUAGCCCAUGGGUGGAUUAUGACGGUAAAGCUACACAUACCCAAGUUAAAAAUUUUAUAUGCAUGCUAAACUCGAUUCCUUUUCCCGGCAUGGAUUUCAUAUAUAUAUAUCUGUGUAUAUGUAUAUAUAUGGAUGUGAUUUCAUAUGGUUAUUUGUUUGGUUUUUAAUGUUUGUAUUAUUUUAUCCUUACUCCUAAGUAUAUGCUAGCGUUCACCCGCUAACCCGUCUUUGGGCGUUAGAUCCCCACGCAGUGCAGGAACCGACUAUACUACUCCUUCUCAGUGACUAGAAUUUGAGGACAGCUUUGUGUCGGAUUAAAGUGGCGAGCUUCCAUACUCUGGAAGGAUCCAUUUCAUGUUAAGAACUCCUCUACAUACUUUUUUUAUUUCUUAGAAUUUGGUUUUUUGCUAUGGUAAGGGGCAUGACCCAAUCGGAUGUUGUCUUGAUUUUAGUUAGAGGCUUUGUAAGACUACUUUGGCUUGGUAGGGGUUGUAUCGGUAUUGGUGUUAGCCUUUGCAUUGGUAUUAGUAUUAGGGCUGACACAGAUUAGACAUUUAAUUGUAUUUCUUGUUGGUAAUGGUUAUGGAUUCGAUUAUUGUCUUUGAGUAUUAAUUGUUCUAUCUUGAGAUAUUUUCCAAAAUCAUCCGACAUAGGGUACAGGGCAAUUAUGGUUGGGUAUUGGGGUGGUCUUAGUCUCGGUUGGACUUGAGGCACCCGACAUGACUAGGCCCUGGUUUGGGUCGUGUCAAAAAACUUGGAGUGGUGGAGGUGAAGAGAGAUGAAAAAAUUGUGUCUAAUAUUAUCAUUACUCUUAAGAAGAGAAGAUUGGAUGCUCAUGAUGAUGAAAGGACUAGGUCCUCUGAUCCUAAUUCUGAGGGUCAUAGUGUAAGAAAAAAGAAACACAUUGUUGUGAAAGGGAUGAAAUUCUCCAAGGGGCGUAGUCCUAAGAAAAGAAGAAUUAAUGAAAAUGAAGAGACAUGUGAUGAGGCCAAGAGUGUAAAAAGAUAGGAAGAAAGGAAAAAUAUUUCCAAAGAAAUAAGGAUUGAAAGGCUUAAGACACAAAAAGUGUUGUCAGGAAGAAUGUUUGAUCCCAAAAUCUAUGAGAAACCUGGGAUGGUGGGAAUUGGUAGAAUAUGUCAGGCUUCAAGGAUGGCUGCAUUUAUUCGAGGAUGCAACACCACUGAUGUUUGAAAAUGAAGUAUGAGAAUUCUAUUAUUCAAUGGAUUUAUCAGAAGACGGGUUGAGUCUAUCUGUAUUGGUGUAAGGAAAAGAAAUAUGGAUGGAUGAAGAAAUCUUAGGAGGAAUUCUUGAUGUGCCUGUUACAGGAGUGAAGACAGUUGUGAAGCAAUAACCCACAACUGAAUUCAAGAUCGAAGAUUCAAGAGUGGUGGAACCUCAAUUGCUACAGUAUGAAGAAGUUUCUAAAAAGUGAGUUUCAGUUGGUGCUUGAGUUUAUCAAUAGGUUCUGCUACCAAGAUCAUAGAAAAGAACAAUUGCUUCCAACAUUGAUCUAUUUAUAAUUGAGUGCCUAAGUAAGUUUGAGUUAAUGAGUCUGCCUGUUCUAAUCAUAGAGCACCUGCACAAGGUGUUCCAAUAAAAGGAAGGAAGAUAUGGGAUACCCUAUGGUUAUUUUUUUGAACUUCCUUAUUCAUUUUGGAGUGAUUGGGACUAAAGGAACAUCGGGGACCGAUAAACAACUGAUUAGUUUAACCACACAGGUGGGAAAUUGGUGUAUUGAAGGGAAAGUCAGGGUUGUAUCCCAAGUGUCUAGACUACUGGAUGCUCAAGAAAGCUUAGCCAAAGAAAUAGAGGAGUUGAGGAUUAUACUAGUAGCAAAAGACACUAAAAUAGUGAAUCUGAAACUAUAGAUUCAAAAGUUGUCCUCAGAGGGACCAUGUUCCAUAGAAAAACUUACAACAGAGAAUGCAAAUCUCAAAGAAAAAAUUACAGAAUUGACUGGUGAAGUACAAAGACUGAAUACUGAAGUAAAAACUCCCACCAAACAAUUGUUUGAUGCUUAUGCUGCUGCAGCUGAAAGAUUGGACAUGGUGCUAAAGUCAUUUUAUCCUAAGCCCCUUCCACCUAAGUCCUAAUGUGUCAGUUUCUUGUAUUAGUUUUUGGUCCUUGGUUCCAUUGUGGCCUUUACAAGCAGUAUUUUUAUGGUUUACUUGGUAUAUUAUAUUGGUACUUAUCCUGAUUAAUUAUGAAUGAAUCUUUAUUGGUGAUCUUCAUUUGUUCCCUUUACUUUAAGUUAUUCUUCAUGUUAGUGUUGCCCUAGUGGCUAUGAGUUGAUUAACCUACACUUAUUUUUGUUUUUGGUUUACUAUUGAAUCUUUUUGAUGAUUCCAAAAGGGGAAAUACUGACUUCAUAUGUAAUGACCUACUGCAGAAGUAUGGUAGCACAAUAACAGAGGGAAGAAAUGCAAAUGCACAAACUGAAGGUGCAUGAUGACAGGGGGAGUUUUUGUUUCAAGAUGAAAAUAAGGUACCAGAUCCCUGUGUUACAUGAUGGAAGAGGAAGCAUGAUGAUAGGGGGAACAUUCAUCUUCAGGUAGUAAUCACCCUGAUUAAAUAUGAUGAAUGUGCACCGAUGCUCAAAUUGAAUAGUUUGGUUUGUCAUCAUCAAAAAAUAAAAAAAAAUGCUAUAUGUAGUUUUGAUGAUGAGCAGCUAAACUGCACGGGAUCAGGAUCCUGGACGUGCAAAGUACUAUACAGAUGGCACAUAGUAUCUGCAUAAUUUUUUCCUCUUGUGUAACAAAUUUGUAGGUGUUAUCUUGUAUCCACUUGGACAGCAGUCUAAUGAUAUUCCAUCCCUAAUAAUCACCCAACUAUAAAAUGAAAGAGACGUCUCUUCAACAAUUGGUUUUUGCACAUUCUAAAGAGUAUGCCUCUUCAAUAAUUUAUUUUUUCACAUUCCAAAGAGUUAAAAGAGAGGUAACAAAACCCCAUUUCUACACUACUCAUGUUCUUAGAUAACUGUUUAUGCUGAAAUAGAUCUUGUUCUUGAGUGAGUGUUAAAUUGUAACCGAACUACCCAUGUUAUAAGACUAGUGUUUUUCUCUUGGUAAAAAGAGUGCUUAGGUAGAGUUGCCUAAGUUUGUUGUUUGUUUAGAGUUAACUAGUUGUUGAGGGAAACUUGGCAAAGGUGUGAAGAUGUGCUUGCAAUAGAGGUAUUGCAAGUAGGAGUAACCUAGAUUUAGGUUCACAGUUAAGUCCAUAAUCAAUAGGUUGGUUAUAGUGGACUGGUUGGUGCUUGUGAGGGCAACGCGUGGUUUUACCCUUUCAAGUUUUCCACAUAAAAUCUUGUGUUCUUACUUUCUUGCAUUGCCUUUAAAUUUCCAGUACCUUCUAAUUGCUUUACUACUAUAUUGCUUGAAACUUACCUUGGGGGCGCCUAGUCCCUCACUGUGUGGUUCCAUCCCUAACGGUUCCUAUAGGAAUUAUAUUUGAAAUUUGUUCCAUUUUAAUAUUUUUUAAAUCAUGGUGUCCAGACGAGCUUUCUAUCCUCUUAACAAUCUUCUUAACUAAAUCCAGGGAAUAAAUAAGUUAUUUUUUAGUGUAAUAUUCAUUAUUAUUUUUUAUUGUUUAUGCCUAAUAUUAUUGAUGAUUAAUUUAUGUUUAAGCUAACACUUACAAAUAUAACUAAGGGUAUAGUAUUUUUUAAUAAUGUUUUAAAAUAUUUCCAUAUAAUUUUGUAGGCAGACCCUACUACAACUCUAUUUUAAAUGAACAAAAUUGAUAUAAUGAUCAUUUCAUUAGAAUCUUUUCAAUGUCACUAGUGAUAUAAUCUUUCACAUGGAUUCCACACACCUCAACUUAAGUUUAUUUUAAUAUAUAGUAAAAAAAAAUUAAAUGCAUUCUAUUAGAAUUUCUAUUUUAAUACAUUAUAUGUCUCAAUUCAUAUAAAACUUACUUUACUUAAUCAGUUCUAAAAAAAAUUGACAUUUUUAUUUGGUUAGUAUUUUAUAACAUUAUCAAUAUUUUAGUCAUGUUGAAUUUUAUUUAUUUGUCAAAAUGUCCACAAAGGUUUUGUAACACCCCAAAACAAAAGAUUGAACAUAAAAGAUGAGGAAAAUGGGUGACUCGAACUCUCACCCAUCUUCAAUAUCAACACAGCACGAGCAUCGAUCAAAAACGACAACUAGUACACAGAUCUACCCCAAAAAGGUACAGAAGUAUAGUAUGAGUAUCAAAACAACAAGUGCUUAGUAUGUAUCAUUGGUCGACUAAGCUAAAUCAUGAUAUAAGUAUGAUAAAAUGCAAGAUAUCAUAACUAAGUCAAGGUACAAAAAUGAACUUGAAUAGACUACUAUAUUGUUGUGCAUAAUAAUUAAUUAAAUCGAGAUACAAUAUAACAUAAAGCAUCAACACAUGCCAACCUUGUCAUGCAUAAUAAGUAAAUAAAUAAAAAUAAUAACGCAUUGCAAAGUAUCAACACAAGCAACUAUAACUACAAAAUAGGCUCCCAAUCACCAAUUAGUACGAAAUGUAAAUAACUUUUAACAGAACCAUAUAUUGUUGGAGAGUACACUCAAAGAUAGAAAAAGCAACAAUUCAUCGCUUAUAAAUUACCAUUAUAGGCAUUUAAUUUUCGUGCCAUAAUUUACCAUUAUUGAAUGAUUUUACCAUCAUUUAACAACCUUAUGAUUGUUAUCCAUUAGUUUUAAUUUAUCUGCUAACCAUCUCUUAUCAACUAAUCCAUUCAUUAACUAAUCAUCAUAUAACUGCUAGGCAUGAUCUAUACAUUAUCCACCAUAUAACCACUAAUAACCAUUGAUCAACUAAGAAUCUUCUCUCGACUAGUCAUCAUUCCACAUCCAAGCAUCUUUUAUUAACUAGUUAUCAAUUAUCAACUAAUCAUCAUUUAUCAAGUCGUAUUAUAGCAUACGAUAUAUCCGGACAUAAAGCGUCAAUUAUAAUCAUCAAUGUCAUAAUCAACCUUUGGAAUUGAGCAGGGCAUAGUCAACAUCAUACUCAUCUUUUGGAAUCAAACCGGGUAUAAUCAACAUCAAUAUUAUAUUCCAAAAUUAAACUGGGUAUAAUAAAUGUCAUCAUCAUCUUUUGAAAUUAAACUGGGUAUAAUCAACAUCCUAAGUGUUAUUAUAGUCAAUCAUCAUGAUUUCUAGCAUAAUUAUUAGCAUAACUUCCCAUGUAAUUAAUAAGCAUGACUUCUAGCUUAAUUAACAACACAAUAGAUAACAUCAUCAAUAAGAAUGUUAACUAGUGUAAUUGUUUAACAUGAUCAUAACCAUAAGGAAUAUCUUGGACAAUAGAUUAUCUCUACAUAAUUAAUAUCUCCUCCUAGCAUAUUCGACAAUCUAAUCCAUUAGUCCAUGAGCAUUACUUCUAAUGACAUUAUCACCAUAACUAUCAAGUGCCAAGGUUCCUAUAUAUUGCCUCAAGGGGCAUUCUCUAAGUAUUCAACAAAUGUAUAAGGGUUACAAGAGGACUAAUCAUCAAUCUUGACUUAAGGUGGUCCGAAGAGCCCACUUCUAAAUCCCUAAAAUACAUUAUAAGGUAAGUUCUACCCUGUACUAUGUUAAGGUAUCUAAAUCCACUCUUAUAUGCUUAGCAAGCCAUAAUCAGCCGUAAGGUAGGGGUUUUUUCCCACACAAUAACUAAACCAAGGUAACUAUGGUACCUCCCUUUAUUCUAAGAAUCUAAGGCCAAUCUUACCCUAGGCAUGAGUGACUAACGUACUUUCACUUAACUUGAGUAAUUUAAGGUAUUGUCAUGCUACACAUGAGCCAUGAAAUCCAAUUUACCUAAGGCAUAAGGAAACAAGCUAAGUGUUUCAACUCUACGAUUUCAAAUUGAAUUAAAUCGUCCAACCAACCCAAGUAUUACAUUUCUUUAAUACAACACCUACAAACCAUCCCAAAUCUAACACAGUAUCAUAAACCUAGCCUACCUCGACAUGGAAGAAAGCUCAAUAAUCAGCAAAAUCACUACUUUUCCCUUCUGAGAAAAGUAUGUAACCACACUACAUUUGAUAUUUCUGACUUAAUGGCAUAGUCAAAAUUUCUAUUCAAGGACGUUUUGAUAAAAUAUGGGUCCCAUACCCAAUUUCCAAUUUCUUAACUUUCUGACUACUAAGUCAAAAUGAGCUCGGGUGUCUCAAGACCCAAACCAAUACCUAAAAUAAAGUUGAUAUUUUGAAGCUGCUGAUGCAGUUAGAAUUUCCACUCAAGGUUGUUUAACUAAAUUUUUCACCUGGUGGCCAUUUGGUACCAGCGAAGACUUCAAAAUAGGAAAUUGGCUUUAAAAACCAAAUGAACUGUCCAAUAACCAAACUGUCAGUUCCAGUAAUUCAUAAAUGACUUGGGGCAGUUAUAAAAAUCUCUAAUGGUGAAAAUAAGAAGAAAUAUAGAAAAUGACCUUGAAUGGUCAUUACAUUAAUUUCUAUAGAAACUAUUUGUCUUACAAAAAGACAUUUCUAUCUUUAAAUAUUCCAAGAGAAGAACUAUUUGUUGCACUUGUUCAGUUUGUUUAUCCUCAUAAAAUACAAAUUUUAUUUUUAAAUUGGUGUAUUCUUUUGUUUCUAGGUGAUUUUAAUUCCAUAGUUUACUAUUAGCCUCAUAAUCACAAACAUCUUUUUGUUGUUGGAAGUGAAACUAAAUUGUUAAUAAGUCUUUGUUGUGCUAAGUCACUAGAAAGUUAUGUGUUUAUAUCUGUGAUUUCAUGGUCACUUAUUUUUAUUCUUUAACUUUCAUAGGCAUAGCUUUCUAGAUUACAACAAAUAUAAGUUGUCAUUUAUUUAACAUUUUGUUUACAGGUAGACCCUAUUGAUGCAACAAGAUUUGUUAUAAGAGAAGAAAGACUUGAAUAUGUUGUAGACCUGAAGAAUAGGAGUUGUCAAUACUUAGUAUUCCAAUAUUUGAGAUACCAUGCAUCCACAUAAUUGCAACGAUAAGCAUUAGAAAUAUGAAAAAGUCUAGCUAUUGUUCUCAUUACUUGUCAAGACAAUCUUGGAUACAAACGUACUAGUGAGAAAUUCUACCGAUUGGAAGCACAAUAUCAUGGAUUGUCCUAUAUAGUAUAAAGAAUCUGAUAAAAAAAUCCCCAGAUGUAAAGGUUCUACUAGGGAGAAGAAAAAUAACCAGAUAUCCUUCUAGGAUAGAAUCUUCAAGGAAUAGUUUCAAAUGUUCGAGACGCUAAAGAACCAGGCAUAACAUAUCAAAUUAUCUUUACACUCCGUCCUCCAUCAAUAAUCAAGAAGAUAAAAAAAGAAAAAUAAAAAACAUAACUAGUUUUAGUUUUUAUUUGAGAACAUGGAUUAUAGUAGCAAUUAUAUUGGGAUUCUUCAAUCCUCUCUUUUAAUUAGUAACAUGUAAUUUUGAGUUUCAACAGAGGUUAGCUUGUGGUCCUUCGGGACUGGAAUCACCGUGUGACAACUAGGGGGUAGUCCUGGGUUAUUACAAAAGCCUACCCAUACAUGAAUGGUAUCUCUAGUCACCCUUUUUGAGCCUUUAAACCUUUCUUUGGCAACUACAUUACAAGCCUUGAACCAUUUAAAAUUUAUCCAUCUUUUAGAACCUCUACCCUACUUAAACUUGAAAGUACAACUUGAGGCUAAAUGCCUAAGUUGGGGGUGGUGAAUCUUGGAAGAGGUGAUCUUGGGCCACGGUAUUUUAAAAAAGUGUCUUAAAGCUAUGAAAUGAGGAAAAAUGAAUGAGAAAAAGAAAGGGAUCAACAAAAGAAAGAAAAGCAUGAGAUUGCACAAAGGAAAGAAAUGAGAAGAAAAUACUUUCAAAAGAUAGGUGAACCGAUGUAGUAAAAGUAGGCACAUAUGUGAGUUAGGAUUAAAUAAAAUGGCCCAUGACCCAAAGUUGGAUCUAAUAGUGCAUAAUAUGGAGUUCAAGGAGGGUGUAGUCACUUUUGUCCCAAAUAUUUAUCCUACCCUUCCUCGAGCCUGCAUUACAUGCUUGAAAAGGUCCUUUGAGAUCUCCAACAAAGCGCCUUUGAAUUAGUAGAGAUUGAAAAUAAGGGCAAGCAUAUGGCAUGAUACUUGUUUGCAUUGAGAAAUUCCUUGUGAGAGUGAGUUCUUGCAUUUUAGUCUCUUCUUGCAUGAUUGAAAUUAUGGUGUGUUAGUAUUUCUUUUCAUGAGGAGACAUGUAAACUAAUAGAGGUUGGUGAAAUUGUCAUGUUCUAAAAAUGAGGCAAAGGAGUGGAUUCAAGCCACUAUUGAUAAAAAAUCACCUCUUGAGAGUUAGUAGUUGAUACUUGAAUGCUCCUAAAAGAUUUUUGCAUCCUUGAAAAUGUGAUUGAUAGUAAACGGUGUUGCAUCAAUAGUUAUUCCCAUUCUUGUUGGCUAAUUGUUAGUGCUAAUCGAGUUUGGAAUCAUUAUGAUCAUGUGGUUGUAAGAGUCGGCUGAUAAGUUGAUUAGUCUCUUGAGUAUGGAGUAGUGUUGCUUAAGGAAAAGCAAAGUCUUAAUUUAGGGGCGUUGAUGAGUGGCAAAUUUGUCACUCAUUUAUAUCUAAAUUCUCGCAUACUACAAUGAAUUAAUGGUUUACAUAAGGCUAAUUUUUCAUUGAAAUGUAUUAAUUUCUAGUGUUUAUGCUCUUGCAGGAAAUCUGAUGAAAAUAAGUUGAGACAAAGUUGGAAAAAAAUAAAGUGGGCAAGUAGAGUAAAAAAAAACUAAAGACCAGACACAGGAGCCGACCCUCAGGUGCUGCGAUUGCACUCUGAGGGUUGCGAUUGUGGUCAAUCAAGAAAGUCAAAGGGCAGCAAAUACGAUACGAUGAUAUGCAAUUGCAAAGUCGCGAAUGCAACUGAAGGAUGGCUAUCGCAAUAGGACGAGAAAUUUUCAGGAGCAAAAUAGGAAUUUGACAGAGCUUAGUCCCAUAAUGGAAAAGGCAAAACCCUCAAUGUUUUUCAUAAUUUUUUAGCUAAUUUUUCAAAUUUGAAGAUUUAAGAACAAGUUUGUGAGUGAGAAGUAAAUUAAUGAGUGUUCCUAAGAGAUAAUUUAACUUUGUUGAUUGAAUUUGAAGUUGACGAUUUUAAUUAUUUUUCUUUUCAAUGGAUGAGCUGAAUGCCAAUUUGGGUAUAUUUUUUCUUUUUAAUUUCAUGAGUAUCUAAAUUUAUAUUUUGGGGUUAUGUUUAAAUAGUUGGUGGUUAAUGCGUGGGUGUUGAUUGUUAGUCCAAAUAUUUUUUAAUGAUUUUGCGUUUCACAUUUGUCCCAUGUUUGAAAUGGGAAGUGGGAGUGAAAACCCCAAUUGCAUAAGGAUCCCAUAUCAUCCUUGAAAGAGGGAUGUGAGUGAGGGACAUUUGUGACCAAUAAUUUGAAGUAGCUUAAUUCUUAGAAUUAUCUUAGAAAUAAGGGUGUUAGUUGAAUUAGCUAUGUUCAUAAGCAUUAUCUUAGAAAUAAAAAUGCUAGCUUGAGGUAAUGGAUUGGUAAUCUUGUCACACUCAUAAGGUGUUCGAAAGAAUAUAUGAGUGAAAUUUAGUGUUUUAUAUAAGGGCUAACACUAAGAUCAUAAAUCUAGCCUACCCAAAAACAUUAGCUAAAACUUGGAUUAACUUUUGAUUACCCAUGCAUGUACACAACCUAGGAUAGCAUAACGUCAAGGUUCCACUCAAUUUGAUAUACCUUUCAAUUGUUCAAUCUAUUGUUAGAGUUAUUUUUGCAAUUGUGUUCAACAAAUUUUGAAAUCAAAAUCCCCCUAAUUUGCUUUUAUUUUAUACUUAAAUGUUGCAUUACAGGUUAACUCAUAGUUAACUCUCAACACAUGUAAGCUUUAACAGGUAGUUUGCACUGCUCGUAGAUUUAACCUCGACUCUUAUUGGAUAUAUAUUGACAAUGUCUGCCUUGCACUUAAUUUGACAUGUAAAUUGAGCGUUAUUAGUACUCAAUAGGAAACUGCCGACUGAGCUCCAAAGAUAAUGCAAAUAUACAUAACAUGCAAGCAAGAAUGUAAACUACGCUCAAAUAUCUAGGGAACUAACAUAGUAAAUCUAAGGAGGCAAUAAGGAUAAACUAUCCUAUUCUAGCCAUACUUAGGAACUUAAGCACUACACCGUAUAUCAUUGGCCCAUAUAUAAAUAAUGAGUAGAUAAGUAUAUAUAAUAGUAUAUGACACCAAGGAAUGGAUAUACAACAUGAACACGUGAAGAAAGUGAGGGAUAUACGGUAACACCACAACAAUAUAUAUAAAUGUAUGUAAAUAAACAAGGCUAACCCAAAGGUACAACUUGAAGUAGUUAUACUAGCAUCUUAAGGCCUCUUAACCAUAGUAGGAACUAGUACUAACAUAAUCAGGACCUCUAAUCCAUAUAUAUGAACUUGAGAUAAUUAUCCAUAAUAAAGCAACCAUAAAGAAAGGAAUCAGAAUCAUACCUCAAAUCUAAGUACUAAUCUAGUAAUCAACCUAUCACGAACUAACCAUAAUAAUAACACAAUACAGUAACUUGCUAGCCCGGACAAACAAUAUCUAAAUCGGCCCCCAUAAUCCAAAAGGUACAAUUAACACACAACACACCACAAGCAAUACUCAUAACACAUACCUAUGCAACCCACCAUAAGGUAGAUAGAUAUAGGCACAUACUGGUGAUAGGCAAUGUGCAUGCAAGGAUGAAAGCAAAGUAUGAUCCAUACUACUAUAACCAAACAAAGUACCAUAAUGUAACCCAGUGUAUACACCUCCUCCAGCUCAACAGUUUGUAAAGAAAGACCUACGGUGACCUCUCUUCUCCGACACAAUGGCCCAAUAAUGAAGGGGCCCCUAGGGGGUUUGAUAGUACCCAUAUACACCGACCUGGUCUCGAUCUAAGAUUUUUAAUAACCAUCACAUCAUCAGUCUACUCUACCCAGUACCAGAUAUGUAAAAGUGUAAAUGCAUAGACUUGAACCGUGGCUAAAAGAUUCUACAAAUCUAUAAAUUCAUUUCUCGAGGAAACUUCCGAUAUUAAAUCACCAUAAAAGUGUGGAAAGUGUCAAAAUUUCUCUCGACCAAGGUAAAUAGUAGUAGUAAAAUUGUGGAAUGAAAUAUAUCUCAAUCAAAUAUCUAAAAUAUCAUUUUUAGUCUCAAAAGCCCAUAAAUCAUUCAUUAAGGUGAUACGAUUCCCGUUUUAAAAGUGAAAAGUGGGAUCAAAAUCCCUUUUUAGGAAAACAGUAGUAAAAUCAUAUAUUUAGUCGGAAUCGUACCAUUAAGUGGUGAGCAUGAAUGUACCUAAUCUAUGUAUGCCAUCACCAGUAUCCAAACAAUACCAUUAUAAGUGUCUAAACAUCAAUAAGCUAAACUACGCCCUUUACAUGGUAAAUCACUUACUCGGAAUCCAACUAAUAUCACAUCACGACUUUGGGUGCAAUAAUACAUAAUUGACAUUAUCAUUUCAUAAUUUGAUAAACCAACACAUUCCACCAACUAAAGUAGUACACCUUAUGUUAAAGGUUAUUAACCUCAACUAUGUCUAAACAUACUAGCAACCUAAGGUAAUAGGAUCCUAAAAGUAAAGAGAAUAUUUCACCCUAAUGGGUCGAUUCACCCUUAUAUACCCAAACUAAUAAAUUAGGUUGAGGCAUGGUGUUCUACCCACAAUCACAUCCUAACAUCCCUAUGCAACAUCAUCGUAUAUAUUGCACUAUCUUGUGAAGAAAAGUAGACAUACGCCUACCUCGAUGCCAAACUGUAAUCCUUGAAUCACCCAUACAUCAUCUGACUUUUUUCCAUGAUCUCAAAAUGCAUUCAGUCUAUUAAAAUAGUAAUCUACACAUCAUUAUGAGUAAAAUUAAACCCAUAUUGCUAUAUUCAAGAUGGCUCUAAAAACGAACACCAAAAUGAUUUCAAAAUAAAAAGGGUAAAAUUGUAAUUUUAUUUUAGAAAUAUAUUUCCCAUACUCAUAAGAUUCUACAGAUUAAAAUCCAUGCAAAAAUGAGUUAAAAAUAAGGUUCAAAUCAAAGAAAAACUAUUUUCAAGAUUUACUGGAAAACCCCAAAACCUAUUUUAAAAUCAAAAAUUUGAACUUGUUUGAAGAUGAAACUAAGGGAAAAAUUAAAAUUAUAGUAUUAGAAAUUUACCCAUGAAAUAAAUCUCAAAAGCUUCUUUAAAAUCGCCCAAAUACGAGCUCCCAAGCCCCCAAAAUGGUGAAAAUAGUGUUUUGAUUCUCAACUUGAGUGGAAAUCACGAAAAUAAAAUAGAAGUUCCUAGUAAAUGGGUAAAAUAGAGUUCUAAAUUUAUAGAAAAUGAUUAUAUGAGAAAACACAUCAAAAAUCAUCAAAAUCAAAGAUUCCCGACUACCAAAAUGUCAAAAAUACUAAAAGGAUUCGGUUUGGGUCUAAUACAGAGCAGUGACCGCUUAAGCGGUAGUUUGACCGCUAAAGCUGUCUGAUCAAAAGGUAAAAGUACCGCUAAAGGGAUCAUAUGGUUGCUUUAGCAGUCGAUCAAAUGGUCAACGGCCGCUAAAGUAGCCAGACCAACACCAACAACCUUCAAAACUUGGUUUUGGCCCCCAAAACUCAUUUGUAACCGUAUGAACAUGAUCUAAUAGUGAAAAUUGAUUGUAAAAAUGUUUUGGAUCAAAUUGAAUCAUUGAAACUUUAAUCCAAGAUAGUUUCGGCUAAAUGUGAGGCCCACACCUAUAGUUCCAUUUUUCAUAUUGUUCGCCCAAUAGUCCAAAAGUAGUCCAGAAGCCUAAAGACCUGAACCAAGGGUCCCCAUAGCCUAAAAUAAACAUUCUAGAGCUUGUGGCACCGUCUAAAUUCUCAUACAAGGUCAUCUACUAGUUGUUUUUCCCCAAGACCUAAUUCUAAACAUCAAAAACUCUAAAAUAAGAUAACGAGACAAAAACCCAAACGAACAGCUCGAUAACCAAACUGAUAGCACCGGCAAGUCAUAAAUGACUUGUAGUCAUUAUGGGAAGGCUCAAAAUGCCAAAAAUACAUGAAAAUCGAGGAAAUGACCUAGAGGGUCAUUACAUAUUCUGAGUCAUUGAAGUUACAUUUUCACCCCUACCUUCCUUCCAUAUGGUAAUUUAAUGUGCUAUAGAAAUAUAGCACUUUCAAUUCUUAAAACAAGGAAAUAUGGAAGUUUCUAAGGACUUUUUACUAGAUAUAAUCCAUUUUGGGCAUGUUUUGCAGUAAAUCAUGAUUUGGAUGAUAAGUUCAUAAAAAUACAAAAAAAAAAAAUGUUUUUGGUCACUUUUGGAGCAAUUAUGGAUGAUUGGGAUGUUUUCUAGCUUUAUCGUGAUCAAUGAAUGUUUGAGAUUCGAAGAUCUAAAAAAUUGACUCCUAUAACCACUAAGACAACCUAAAAACCACAUGUUGACCUACGGACUGCAUGUAGACAAAGUGGGUGCUAGAAAGUCCAAAAUCCCGAAAGCUAACAUGCAAGAAAUUUUCUAUCUAGUACCUGCGGUUUAUACCUGCACCCGGAGCAGACCACAGGUACAACCAGCAUCCAUCCCCAAACUGUAGGUGCAGGAAGCAGGUGGCCACCGACCUUGUUUUCUCCUAUUUUAUUCGAACUUAGUUUUUAGGGUUUUCUCUUAUACUAUAAAUACCCCUUAUGUACUUUUUAUUAGAGGGGACGCAAUUUUAAUACUUAGAAAUAUAUUUUUAUUUCAAGAUUCACCUUUGAUCUUGGGAUUUCAUUGUAUUGUCUUUAAUUGAUUAUUCAGCUUGCGAUUGUAGGUUUUCUUUCAUCUUAUCAUUGUGAUUUAAUCUUUGCUUUCCUAUAUGAAUGUUAUUGAUUUCUUCACAAUCAUGAGCAUCUUAAACCAUAGUUAGGGUUAUGGAAACUCUGGCAAAUUGACGAUGUAGGGGAAGUGCGAUUGAUGAUAUGAACCAAUACCAUGCAUGCAUUGCUUUAUCUUUGAUAUAAUUGAUUUCUUAAUGGGUGCACACAUUAGGAUCCCUCCUAGAUAUUUUUGCUUACUCUAACAAAGGAGUAGUAACUAGGAAAAGUUAAAGAUAAUAGUAAUUUAGUAAUUAAUAGUCGAUCCGUUGCGGUACAACGGCAUAUCUUACUCCCUCUGUUUUAAACAGAAUGACCUACUUUCCUUUUUAGUCCAUUUCAAAAAGAAUGGCACCAUUCUUUUUUUAGAAAUACUUUAAUUUCAACUUUCCACAUGGAAUGUUUAGGACCACAAGAUUAAAGGCAUUUUGGUACAUUUGACACAACUUUAAUAUAAGGCCACAAGAUUCAAAAGUCUUCUUUAUUUUCUUAAACUUUGUGCCAAGUCAAAGUAGGUCAUUCUUUUUUAAAUGAAGUGAGUAAUAAUUAUUAGAUAUUAUCUAAUAACUUGAGACUCAAGAGGUGAUAGUUAACUGGGAUCAGGGUAAGGAUUAGUAACGCGACACCCUGAGAUUCAAAAGGUAAAGAGUGAAAUCCUCUGACUCGUCUAAAAGACUGUAGAAAGUAUAUAACUUAUCGAUUCUACAUGCAAGGUAUUAGGUUGGUUCAACAUCGCACGAUAAACCUACGGAGUUGAGAUGCUAGGGAAACAAAAUCCUAGUGUCCACUUGUGACUAAAUUUCAAUCAAGUUAAUAUUAUUCUAUGUUUGAGACGACUAUAACUAAAUCACCCUAUUACUUUUCUAUUUUUCCCAUAGACUGUAACUACUGAGAUCUAUCAAACCACGUGUUCAUUUGGGAUUCGACCCCAACCUUAGUUCGGUUACUAUAUCUUGACAGUAACUGUACCAUCAUCUAGAAGGAGGUGUUACUUGGACGUCGUCAUGAAAUUGGCACCGUUGCCGAGGAAAAUGAUGUUGAUUUGUGGAUUAAGGUUAUUGCAAUUUUUGGAUUUUUAGUUUUUCUUUGUUCUUAGUUAGGCAUAUGCUCGUGUAUUCCUAACAUACAGAGUAAAGGCAAUCCUUUACUCCCAAUGAAUCGGAUCUAGAUAGGAUUCUAUAAAUACCUAGUAGGAUGCCUGAACUGAAAAGAGGUGAUAAUCCUGAAGGGGUUGGUAAUAUUGUACCUCCUACCAAAGGAGUACAAGAUAUUAUUGAUCGUCAGACUGGUGAUAUUUUAUCUCAAACUAAAGCCGAAAAGGGAGUAGUGGAAGAAGCUCAGAGGAUAGCUUGGGAUGUCGAUCUAGCUAAACAAAAACAAGCAGUAGACCACCGAGCAGCACUCGGUAGGGAUCAAAAUAUAGCUAGAGGUGCAUGUGUUCAAGUUAUCCCAGCAUAUCAGUAUGUGCAACCAUAUAUAGAUGAUAAAGAAGAUAUGGGAUAUGUUGAGCCAACAGAAACUGGAGCCAUAGUACUUCCUAUUUUACUCCCAGGUAUCAAAUUUGACAUUACGAGUGUUAUGAUCCAACUUCUAACUUUGAAGGGUAUGUUUGUAGGAUUGCCUAUCGAUGAUGCAAACUUGCACCUUACAAAUUUCCUUGUGAUCUGUAACUCGUAUACCGAUCUAGGGCAGGAAGCACUUAGACUGAGGUGUUUCCCCUUCUACCUUACAAGAGAAGCAUUUUUAUGGUUAGGAGAAUUACCAAGAGGCUUUAUCACAGCAUGGAAUGAGUUACGCAGGCAAUUCUUCAACAGGUUCUUCUCUCCGUCAAAGAUCUUACAGCUUAAGGACGAGAUCUAUAAUUUCAGACAGCUACAGUCAAAGUCCAUAUAAGAGGCUUGGUUCAAGUUUAAAAAGAAGCUGAGAUUAGUGUCAAAUCAUUAAUAUUCAGGGAAAAACUUAUCAAAGAUAUUCUACAGAGCCCAGAACAUCAGUUCUAGAUCCAUGGCAGACACCACCUCUAGAGGAGCUUUUAUGAGACUACAUUGGGAGACAACUUCAAAGAUAUUAGAUCGGAUCUCACUCACUAAUCGAGGGUGGCAAACUCAAGAGGUUGAGAGAGGAUCUAGUACCUAUGUUAUUGAUGCCUCAUACGACCAGAAAGCAGCUGAUGAUACAAUAGCAUAAGAAAUUUCAUUACUAAGGACUAAUUUAGAGGUGCUAGUAAAGCAUUUUGCAGCAGUAAAUUCUGAGAAAGUGAAUGUAGUAGCAGCACAAGGGUCAGCUUCCAGAGUAUAUGUGUCUGCACUGAAAAAAGAAAGCUAAUUAUCUGGAUCAUCAGAUGGCAGGUUUCUGAGCUUAAGGGCAAGGGAACUAAGGUCGGAACUGUUAUCACAGAUAUAGAGAUCGUAGUAUAGAGCGAGAUGAUAAAUAGAGAAAGAAGGAUGACUUUAGAGAGAAUAGAGAUAGAUACAUUCCACCUGGAAAAUGUGAUGCAAAAUCUCGAAUGAAAGAGAUGCUGACUAAUUUGGUGAAGGGUUAAGAAAAUCAGGAGACCAACCUUAAGAAGAUUAAGGCUAAUAUUUCAAGAUUGACCCAGAAAGUCGAGUCAUAUGCCACUGCUAUCAAGAAGUUGGAGCAUUACUUUAGGAAGAUUUCAGUAACUCUGAACCAGAGGCAGUUAGGUACCCUUCCGAGCAACACAGUGCAAAAUUUGAAAUAUAAUGAUCACAUACUUGCUAUUAGCAUGAGAAGUGGUAUCACUACUAUGGAUCCCCCAAUGCCUACUAUAGAAGUUGUUGAUGAUGAUAUGUCUGUUAGUGAGUGCGGGAAGGUAAUAGGCGAUAGAGGUAUAGUUACUAAAGAUAAAAAUAAGGGUCCGAUCGUUAAGCCAGAAGUAAGAUAAAUUAUGAGACCACCCCCACCUUUUUUACAAUAACUGAUGCAGAAGAAAUAAAAAUGUAAGUUCAAAUGGUUCAUUGAGAUGCUGAGAGAAUUGGGCUUGAACAUACCUUUUCUUGAGUCAUUAGAGCAGAUGACUGGAUACGCCAGGUUCAUGAAAUAGUUGAUCAAAAAGAAGAAAGGAGCAACUUUUGAGGAUGUUGAGGGUGUAUACCACUGUAGUGCAGUCAUGACUAGGUCAUUGGUGCAGAAAAAGAGUGACCUCGGAGCAUUUACUAUACCAUGCACUAUUGGGUUAUCUAAAUUUGCCUGAGCCUUAUGUGAUUUAGGGGCCAGCAUUAAUUUGAUGUCGCUGGCCAUCUUUAAGAAACUAGUCUUGAACCCUUCAGAACUAACUUCAAUGCGGCUAUUAAUGGCUGACCGCACAGUGAAGAAUCCUGUGGGAAUCUCUUUUGAUGUGAUCAUUAGGGUGGAUAAAUUUAUUUUCCCAGCUAACUUUGUCAUCUUAGAACUGUGAGGUUGAGACCGAGAUGUCCAUUAUUUUGGGAAGAUUAUUCAUGGAAACAGGCAGAUCAAUGGUUGACAUGGAGAAGGGUGAGCUAAAAAUUUGAGUCGACACUGAGGAGGCAACAUUCAACAUCCAAAAGUACAUGAAGCCGCCAACCAAGAUGAGGGUGGUAUCGGUGAUUGAUUUUAUUGAUGAUACUAGAGGAUAUUCCUUUGGUAUCUUAAUGAAUUUUAUGUAAUCAAGAUAUCCAUAUCAUGAUGCAAUAUUAAAUCAAGCAUUGCAUGAGAGGCAACCCAUGGGCUUGUUGGUGAAGUCUAAGUAACCAACAUAGCCAUGUUGUGUCGCGACGUUAAAUCAAGCACUGAGUUGGAGGCAACCCAUUAUAUUUUAGUGUUUACAUUUUUGUUGUUUUUGUUUUUGUAGGUUUUUAUCUUUUGGACCUUACAUGGAAUAUGAUAAACAUUGCUACAUGCAUCGAUUUCCAAGUAUAAAUGUCACCUAAAGUGGUAAAGAAGAAAGCAACUGGUACUUCGAGGAGACAGGAAGAGUCUCCUGAGCUUACUAGUUUGGUAGAGGAGUAUCCUAGACAGCUUCAUAUUGAUGCUGCCAUUGAAGUGACAUGCAGAGUCACGCGAGAACAGACUCGCUAGGUUGCUCAGUCAGCCACAGCCCAGCCAGGGAUAAAGUCCACGAGGAUAUCACCACCACAUACUCAUCCACCUGAUGAUAAUGAUGAAAAGGAGAUAGAGUCUCAGUUGACUCCACAGACUGAUGAGGAGUCCCAGGAUUCUUCUGAAAAAGUUGAGCAAGAACAGUCAUCAAUUUUGCCACAGUCAAAGAAGGGUACCGCCACUUAUACACAGUAGAAAAAGGUACCCUCAUCUAAGGAGGGUAUAACACAUUCAUCUUAUGUUGCACAGUAGGCAUCCAUACCCGCACAUGCCCUAGAUGCAACUCUUGAGGAGAGAUAUAUGAGAUAGUGUGUGGAAGAGAUCAGUAUAUAUAUGAGCUUGAUAGAACUGUCUGGGAGCUAGGCAGGCCCACAUGAUGUAUCUAUGAAGAGAGUCAGAUUGACUUAUCGGGGAUGGAGCGGUUACCAUAGCUGAGGACAGUAUUUGACAAGUAUCAUCUCGAGUGAAUGACUAGGUCAUUCAGUUAUUAUAGCCUGACUAUGGUGCAGGAGUUUUAUGCACAUUACAGAGCCACUGUAGUCCUUCCCAUAAGGUAUCAUUCAGGCUUUAUUAGAUUUACACAAUAGACACAACUUGAUCACACACUAUCAGAGGUAUCAAAGUUGAUAUCAGAGAGAAGAUUAUCUGCAGAGUCAUAUUUAGUGAGGAUCACAUAGGAUCAUCAUAUUAUGCAGGAUGUUGAGCAUAAAGUUGAAAAGGUCGAGAUGGCUAGGUGGAUAGCCAUUUAUAUUUCACCACUGGGUGAUGAGGCCCCAUGGAUUAUGGGGCAAGCUAUGAUCAAGAAGGGUCUGUUGACACUUGAGGCCAAAUUUUGGUGGCUGUUGAUUCGAUAUUGUCUGUUUCCCACUGCUUCAGAUAACACAUUGACAUGGGAGGGAGCUACAUUAGUGGCCUACUUGAUGGCAUGUUCGACAUUGAUUUUGCUUCCAUUCUCAGGUAUGAGCUACACGAUAGAACCUUUGGUGAGAUGACCAACUUGUCAUUUCCUUGUAUGAUCUAGAGGCUAUGUAAUAAAGCAGGUGUGCCUAAGUUAUCAGGUAUUGAUGAAAGGGUAACUGCCACUGUGACUGUGCAGAUGAGGACCACGAAGGGUCUGGUUCAUCCAACCACUUCUAGGAGAUCUAGAGAGCAGGCAGUGGCACCACUAGCCCAAACUGAGGGCCCGACAGUUUCUGCAGUACUUGAUGAGGAACAUAUAGAUGAUGCGGGUAUUGGUAUAGAUAUAAAGAUAAAGGAGAAGAGAGAUGCUCUAGAUUUGAGUACUCAAGGCGAGGGUACACAGGAUACUUCUUUUUCAGCCCUGGCUUCGACUUCAGAGUUGGUUGGUACAUCUAUAAAGACUGCUCACCCAUACACUAUAGCUCUUACGUCAGGUAUGAUUACUGUAUCCAGUGAGUUUUUACAGAGCCUAGUGGAUAGCCAGAGGGCUAUAGCCGCUCGGAUGAAGGUUGUCGAGACCGAGAUGACUACCCUCUUUGGGUAGAUGAGAUCAGGGGUCAAAACUAAAUUUGUGUAGGCUGAGGCUAAAUGGAAGGCUGAUUAGAGAGCCACACUAUCAGAGUUAUGUGUCAAUUUUGAGAUAUGGAUUGAUGAGCUAUAGAGAUAGGUUACUUCCCAAUAUACAGAGACAGGUGCGCCAAAUUUAGUGCAGAUAAGAGAGGAUUUUGAUAUCCUAUGAGAAGAGUUAUGCUCUUUUACAAAGAAUCAUAUAGCAACACACCCUCGAUAUUACCCUUUAUAGUCCAGAUAUCACCUUCGUAUGCACUGAGACGCUUUAACCUCUUGGCGGAGGAUGAAAGGAGGUCCCAACAAUUAGGGCUAAUAGAGGUCACUUACUCAAUUUACAAAAUCCUAUUAAGAAAAAGGAGGAGUCCAUUAAAAGGGUCAUACAUGCUUCUUUGAAGACUGCAUUCGAAGAUAAGUAGAGGCGUGAUGCUAUAGCAGCGGGUGCAUCAUCCAAUAGUGCACCGCCGCCGCCACCACCUCUGUCGACUUCUAUGCCUCAAUUUGGGGAGGUUACUAACUCAGGCUUAGUGCAUCCCAAAUAUGUUAUCACUUCCCUAUGAUUUGUUUUAUUUUAGUGCUUUGAGGACAGUGCACAGUUUUUAGUUAGGGGUGGGCAUACCAUGUCACACGGGUUUUUAUUGUCGUGCUUCUUUUUUAUCGAUUGCGGUAUAAUUAUAGAAAUAGCAUGUCUAGGAUAAUUAUGUGUCAUAUUGUGUUUUUCUUCAUAUUGUGAUGCUUUGUGUUACUAAGAAAUUUUGAGUAUUAAUGGUAGUAGUCAAGACUUUGACUAAUUUUUUAUAACCACCAAAAAUGUUAUGUUUAAGAACUGUGUCGAUGUACAUAUAUGUGAAAUUUGUGGAUUUUGUUAUGGCAUUAAUAUUAGGGACAUGAUAACUAUUUACUGACAAUCGCAUGAACUGAAUAGGUGGAAGUUGGUGAUAUUAUCUCUGUGCUAUGUGAGUAUGAGAUAGUACCUAGUUCCCUUUGAAUGUUAAAUUCAAAACUUUCCUGAUUAGUCUUGCCGAGGUUGAAGGAUAAUCAAUUAGGAAAGGAUCAUAGGCCUUUUUUUAAUCUUAGUCCACUUUUAGCCCAAAUGACCCUCUAUGUGCGAAUAAUAUCCCUUGACCCUUAUUUUGAGCCUUGUAAGCCUAUUUUUUCUUGCUUUAACCAUUCACCUUCCCAUUUGUGUUACAAUUUACCUAUUUUGGCCCUAUUCCUCCUUGGGCAGUAUGCAUUUCAACAUAGGCUAAAAGCCUAAGUUGAGGGUGGCUUCAUAGUGGUGUGUAGUAGGGUAUCAGAAGGGUAAAAUAAGAAAAAAAGUUAGUAGGGCUAGGUUUGGAUUUUUCAGGGCUAGGGUAAAAUAAGAAAAAAAGUUAGCAUUUUUCAGCAUAUUAAUAUGAUUUUAUUUGCACUAUUAGCAUAUGAUUUUAGUACACUAACAUACAUUUUAACAUGCUGGCAAUUAUGCUAAUAGUGCAAGAAAAAUCAUAUUAACAUGCUGAAAAAUGCUAAAGAUGACUAAAAUCGAAUAUUUUAACAUGCUAAAGUCUCAUAUUCACAUACUGAAAAUGCAUUAAAUCUAUUAUUUUUGACAUGCUGAAAAAUAUAUUAAUGCACAGGAAUUUUAAGUUAGCAUGCUGCAGUUUUAAAAUGCUGAAAUUUAGUUGUUUUAUGCAGAAAUGCAGUUUAGACAUGCUGAAACGCAAUUUUACUAAUGCACAAACACAGUUUUAAUAAUGCAAAAAUGCGGUUUAACAAAUGCAAAAUUUUGACUAUUAUUGGCAUGCUGAAAAGAUGCUAAUGUGAGGGAACUUAAUGUUUAACAUGCUGAAAAUAGUUUUAAUAUGCUGAAAUUAAGCUUACACCUACAGUUUAAUACAUUAAUCACGCUAGAAUAUAUCAAUGCACAUAGAUUUUUAACAUAUUGCCCUAUUUAUAUUAUCAUGCUACAAGUUAUUAACAUGCUUAAAAUCGUAUUCAGUGACAUGCAUGACUCUAAUGUUUAACAUGCUAAAAAUAUAUUAAUAUGCCGGAAAUAAUAAUUGUUAACAUGCUCGACCUAUUUAUCAUGCUUAAAUUCAUGUUAACAUGCUAGACAUAUAUUAAAAUCAUUUUAAGCCUAAUGUUGAACACGCUAAAGAUGUGUUAAUAUGCCCUAACUGAAUCAAAUUAGUUGAUAAAUAGAUUAAGCAUUGCAUGUGUUAAUAAAUUCUAAAUUUGUGUGCCUAGAUGAUCCACGUAACACGUAUCACGCAUAAACCUGAGUUGUGCCUAUCUAUACUACUCAUAGAGCACAUAACUCCCCGCCCCCCAUGCAGUCCCCAGUAUUCAUUAUUACAAUAUAAUAAUGUCUUUACAAUAAUGUUACAAAUCAACUGAUACAAAAAUAAGAAAAGAAAAAUGGCAGCUGUAAGGAAUAACUUAUUAUGUUUAACGUCCCAACGACUCUUCAAAUAAUCCCGACCUGUAGCGCAAUAACAUGGCAAUGGCGGGGACAAGCAAGAUACUAUGGCAUACUUUUAUACACAAAGUGACUAAAUAAUGACAUGACAAACACAGCAUAGAGAAGUCCCUAUGAACAUGCUUUCUAACAUGUUAACGCAUUCAAUGAACAGAUAAGUAAUUAAAUUACAUCAUUUUAGAUACUUACUGAUGAGCAGCAAUAAAAGAAAUAAUGAGAAUAACGAAUACAAGCACUUGUAAGAAUAAUGUGGUGAUUUCAGUAAGCCUCCAAGAAAACCAAAGAACUCUUAAGAAUAUGUCAUCUCCUGUAUCAAAAUAGCUAGUGAUUUUCUUAUUGGGGGUGUUUUGUUUUUCAAGAACUGCCCCUCAAUUGAAAAGAAGGUUUGUUUAUAUAGCAGUACUCAUAAACAAUUGAAAGGAAACAAUGUAUAAGGAUCAAUUAGCAUGAGUAAGAAAGGAAAAUGUAUUAUUCUAACAGCCAAUCAGAAUCAAUUAGGGAGAAGGAUAAUAUUGAAUUUCCUUAAAUAUCACCAUACAAAUCCGGACGUUUUACCAUAAAUCACAGCAUGAGACAAUUUUAAAUAAGGCCAAUUAAUUUCAAUCAAAUAUAAAGCACAGGCUUACCAAAAUUCGGCAAAGACAACUAAAGCAGACAGAUUAGGAUCCAUGAAUAAACCAGUAAGAGGAAAAACUAAAAGGUAAGAGAAUAUUUUAACAAUCAGUUAGAAAUUUUUCCAUGAUGCACUGAAAUAAAAUCAUAUAUUACGUUAAUCCUACCAAAAAUAGAUGAAAAACUGUCAAGUUAAGAGCAAAGGAGGGCAAUCAAAUUUACAGAAUUCGUCCAAUAUCAUUCCAACGAUUGUAGACGGCUUAAUCAAGGUAAAUAAAAUACCAAAAUAACUAAGCAUGAUUAUUAAAAGAAUCAGUUCAUGAAUCAACACUCAAAUCAUAAUUUCGGGUCAAACAAAAUCAUGCCAAUAUGGCUUCUACAUAUGUCAAAUUACGGAAACAAAACACGAUAUUAGAGCAAAGAUUGAUAACUUAAUAUUUAACAAAUAUUGGUAAACAUGCCAACACAAUACUAAAAGCAAACAUCACAAAUUUUAGUUUUAGGCAAGAAAUUAAUCAAGGAAAACAAACCCUGGAUGAGUUCUAAGACCCAUCGAUUUUCGGCGAAGGGGUUACCAGAUCUGGGUGUAGAGAUGAAGGGGAGGACGGUGGCUGCUGGUGGUUGGGCUGUUGCGUAGCGGCGACGGGCCAGCUUCUUUGCUGGUCGGAGUGGUAGAGACACGGAGAACGGAGAGGCGACGCCGCUGGUCGCUGACCGGCGAGUCUAGCGAUGGCGGCGGAGGGGUUUUCACCGAAAAAGGGGAAGGCGGCACUUGGGAAAGAGAAGGCCGGCGUGGCGCUGGGCCUUCUCCGGUGGCUCGUCGGUUGCUUGGUGUUGAUGCCGGUUCGGCGAGGAGGCGAAGGAGAGGUGCCGGAUCUGGUGGCGACAUUGGUGGUGCUCCGUCCGUCGACAGCCGGAGAGGAUAGGAACAUAGAGAUUGUAGAGAAAGAGGAGCUGUGCGGCUCUUCUCUGAAAAAUGAUUUAGGGUUAGGGUUUUGUUUGGUUUUUAAAAGGAAGGAAUAAAUUUUUUGAUUUCAGCCGUUGGAUCGGUUUUGAUCGACGGCUGAAAUUUAAAGGUUGAGGAACUAAUCAAAAUUUAAAUACAAUUUAAAAUUGAGUCACCAAUUGGCUAUAACUGUAAUAAAUGGCUAAAAGUGUAAUGACUUGGAUAAUAAUUGAGGCUAAAAAGAUAAAUAAAUUAGGCAAAGUGAUUUUAAUUUG
rnacentral:lncRNA from 1 species